UUUUUUUCUCGGGUUUCACUAGCUUUCAUUUUCUUAACUUUUCACAUGCACAAUUAAUAUUUUUCAAAUUUGUUUGCAAAGUGAUUUCUGUAAUAGAUAUAUUUAGAAUACUUUGAAAUAUAAUAAAAACAGUAAUAAUUACAAAAUAUGAAAAAGGAUGAAAAAGGAACAUAGAAGACCCGCUGUCCGCACUGGGCCAGCCCAUUCUGGCCCAUGCAAGAGGCGAGGCGUGGUACUAUCAAGAGCAAACCUCCUAAGAGCAUCUACAACCAGACUUCCUAUUUUGACUGGGCGGACAACACGAUAGUAGUUUCAAUUGUCUUUUAUUUAUGCCAUGUUUGUUCUUUUUGGUUUUCUUUGUUUCUUCACUCAAUUUCUCUGGUUUUCUGUUUUCUUGUUUUUCAUCGGUUUUUAGUUUAUUUCUCGGUUUUUUUGGUUUGUUUUGUUUUUCAUUGGUAUUCUUCAUUUCUUUCUUGGUUUUCACUAGUAUUUUUUACCUUUGGUUUCUUUCUUGUUUCUUUUGUAGGUUUUUCUUUAACACAUGUCUACUUUUUUCCAGUACACAAUAUACAUUUCUGGUGUACAAAUGAAUCAUUAUUUUCAUACAAGUUGAACUUUUUCCAUAUAUUUUUUGAGUACACGAGGAAUAUUUUUUAUACACACGUUUAACAUUUUUACAGAUGCAUAAUUAACAUCAUUUCAUAUAUAUACGUUUUGAUGUUUAGUUUUCAUAUACAUUAUACAAUUUUGAAUACACAUUUAAUAUUUUACGAAUACGCAAUUAAUAUUUUCAAGUCUGUAUGUAAAGAGAUUUAUAUAUAUGUAUAUAAUAUUUCAAUAUAUUAGUAAAAGUAAAAAUACAAAGCAAAAAUGUGAAAAAGGAUAAAAAUAUAGCGCUGAAGACCUGCGGUCCGCGCUGGCCAACCCAUUCUGGUGGCUGCCUGAGGCUAGACAUGCUACUAUCGAGAGCAAACCUCCUAUGAGCAUCUACAACCGAACUCCCUAUUUUGACUGUCGGGCCGGCCUGAUUAUUAUCCGAUUAGUUUUUAAAUGUCUUUGUUUGGUCCUCUUUGGUUUAUGUUGUUUCUUCAUUCAUUUAACUGGUUUUUUGUUUUCUUUGUUUUUUCACCAGGUUUCUUCUUUAUUUCACGAUUUUCUUUGGUUUCUUAUUUGCCUUGUUUUUUUUAUCAGUUUUUAUGUUAACUAGAUCAUUGAUGGCGCGCAUUGCCGCGCCCGUCCAUUUUGAUGGUAGAAUGAUAGAAAUUGUCGUAAAUAUAUGGAGGCAAAAGCUAAACAAAACCAAAUUGUGAAUUACAUGAAAGUAAAAUAUGUUGAAAUAAGUUGUUCCAAGCAUGUUUCCCUUUUGUUUUGAUAUGUGAGGUAUUCCAAUCAGUAGUAAAGUAGAAAUUGAAAAGAGAAAAAUAUGUUUUGUUCACAAUAAUAAGAAGAAUUGAAAUUGCCCAACAUCUGAACUCUUUUGUGUCAGCUUAUAUACAUGAUGAUAUACUUACUAAAUAUCUCCACAAGCCUACCUCUAGAGCACACGCGUUCCUGCACCCAUAAAGUUUUUCAAUAAUAGUUUUUUUUGCCAAAAUAUGAAAGGUCAUGACAAAUCAGGUUAUAAAAAUCAUUAUAAUCUAAAAAUUCUAUCGUGUAGUUAACCAAACCAAACUAUUUUAUGCCAAAAUAUGAUAGGACUUUUUUUUGAAAAAUAAAACCACACCGAACUCAAAUGUAAGCUUACUACUUGAUCUAUCCUAUAAACUAUCGAUAUCUUGGUGUGUGAAUUGCACCUUAAAGAUAUACCCAUUAUCAAACAUGAGCCAAAUUGUAGUUGUAAUACGAUGACAUCUUGGUUUCCAACUUUGAUAGAGCAGAAUAGAAACACAUGAAAGAUAAACAAACAAACAUGAGCCGAAUUGUAGUUGUAAUAAGAUGAAAUAUUAUUUUCCAACUUUGAUAGAGCAGAAUAGAAACACAUGAAAGAUAACAAACAAGCCUACCCAAAUAGAAAUGCAAUAGUGCAUAAUACUAUAUAUUAGUCAUAGUAGUCAAUUUGUCCCCGCAAAAAAAAAAGGUCAUAGUCAAUUUGUACCACGGCUACCUUAAACUGAAAAUUAAAUAUGAACAACCAGCCAUGCAACAUCACCGGCACCACUAGUCUGCUAACAUCACAGCAUCGAAGUUCCAUCAAGAAAUUAAAAAUAUAAAGUUGCAUGGUUCAUACCUCGUACAUAGUACUAAUAAUACUGAACUUACCUGUACUUGAAGCAUCAGAAAUUUCACAUAACCAAAGAUCUUAUAUAGCACAGCUGCUAUAUAAAAUAACACAAAUCCGACUGUGUAGUCUCUGUUUUUUACACCUUGGCGUGAACCAACAGAUCAGGGUGAUUAUUCGAAAACUACAUUAGAGAAAAAACAAAGAUGUAGCUUCUUUUUCUUUCAUAGCUUCUGAUUUUGUAUAGGACAGACAUCUCAUUCCAGAAUCCAGAUUAUCACAAUCAUACUGAAUAGCACUCAAAUCACGUACUAACACUUGAACAUCCAACACCUCUCAGCUAGGGGAAAAGGCAACAAUCCUUUGGGUUCAUAUAAGUCAUAACACAGAGCAGUUCGCAACCAGUGGUGCUAUGUAUUUACAGUAGAGACGGGAGAUGCACCUUGGUGUUAAAAAGUUGGGGAGCCCAAGAACCAGUUUAGCCGACGAUACAAACACGACGUCCAGAUCGCCUGUAUUGACAGCGGCGGCAGCCGGCAACCAGUCCGACACUGCACGGACGAAAUCCCUCGUAUCACCGGGUUCCACUCCGAAGGGACACCAUGUCGAAUGCUGGAAGAAGUGGAGGCGGCGGUGGUAGCGUCACCGAGGACUGACCGGAGGCGCUGUAGCACAAUGCUACAUCCCUUCUCAUCUACUUCGGCCUGGACAGGCUGGAACGGUGUUGCGAGAGAGCCGGUGGCGCAAGCCGACGAGGGGAGUGGCUCCAAACUGACGCGACGAAGUCUGUCAAUCUCGCGUUCCGACCUCCUCACCCAUCGCCGUGUGAGGCCCCGUCGCCAUGAGAGGAGGACCGUAGUAGGAGUAACUGAGCUGCAGUUAUCGUCGCCGGCGAGUGGAGUACAAUUGACAGGGGCGAUUCGUUACCUUGUCACCGCCCCUUGGCGUCACCCGACGAGUCCUCUCCUGCCCACUCUGUCUCUUGGUUCGCAGGAACGAUUCAUCUUGACCGCAAACGUCUGUCCGCUGGCAUGGUCAACAACAUCAAGCACCUCGCACAGAUUGCGUCGACCGACCCGCGCCUCUUCCUUCCCAUGUGUGUGGUCCAUGUUUUUUUUUCUCGUUUGAUGAUGGACACAAAAGCGAUUACUACAGGCCCAAGGCCCAAUAGGCCCAAUUAACAGCAGAUGGUGGAUUUUGUUUCGGGAGCAGCGGCCAAAUCCAUGUGCGCGACCAGCACAGCCAAGGAAGCCCAGGCAGGAUUAGAGGAGGAUCCAAUGGCCAGAAACACCCACUAAUUGAGAUCCGACGGCUAAAAAGGGUAAUGGCCUGAGAGGGCUGCCGGUGUCAAAACCGGCCGAUCUCGGGUACGGGGUCCCGAACUGUACGUCUGAGGAUCGAAGGUAACAGGAGGCAGGGGACACGAUGUUUACCCAGGUUCGGGCCCUCUUAAUGGAGGUAAUACCCUACUUCCUGCUUGAUUGACUUUAAUGAGUAUAAAGGUUACGAGAGUUGAUCUACCUCGAGAUCGUAAUGGCUAAACCCUAGAUGUCUAGCCUGUAUGAUUGUGUUUUUUUCUCUCUACGGACUAAACCCUCCGAUUUAUAUAGACACCGGAGGGCCCUAGGGUUGUACAGAGUCGGUUUACAGAGAAAUGAAUCUUCACAUCCGAACGCCAAGCGUGCCAUCCACGCAAAGGAGAGUCCAUCCGGACAGGGGAGAAGAAGGCCUUCUAUCUUGUAUCUUCACAGCCCAUCAGUCCGGCCCAUAUCAUAUACCUCGGACGCCCGGGGACCCCCUAAUCCAGGACUCCCUCAGUAGCCCCUGAACCAGGAUUCAAUGACGAUGUGUCCGGCGCGCAGAUUGUCUUCGGCAUUGUAAGGCGGGUUCCUCCUCCGAAUACUUCAAAGUAGUUGACCAAAAGAACUAUAUCCGGCUCUGUACAAUAGUUACAACCCUGAACCACAAGGGCAAAAUACUUAAACAAAACAAGCCAUGUCUACUGACAGCUUUUCCGGCGAGACGUUACGUCCUGGCCUUAUUAUUAUUUCGAACCCUUUUUCAGCCUCCCGCUUCGCUUUUCGAGGCGCGGUCUUCAUUGACACGUCUUGUCAAAGAAGAGAUCGUGUCCCCUUAUUGCGGGAUUCUUAUCGAUACGGGUUUGGGUAAUCCAACCGUGCCAUUUGCACGACCCCUUGGGAAUAGGUGAGUUUUAAGGCUCGUGGGGGGACGCUCGAUAUUCACUGCCUUUAUAAGAAGAUAAGGAUCCAUCUUUUUACCCCCCGCCUUCUUCCUCCUCAGCCCAUCCGCCCUCGAGCUCCAGCGCCCAAGUUUCAAUCCUUUCCGUCCCCAGCAAACACUCCAGCCAUGUCCGGAUCUGGAGUGCAGGGCAAGUGGAUGGCCUCCUCCGUCACGUAGGGGAACAUCAAGGAACUCCGGGAAGCGGGGUACUUAGCCGCGGAAAUCGCCCACCGUCUCCCUGCCAAAAAGCAGAUCAUUCCCACCCCAGAGCCUAAUGAGAGGGUAGUGUUCAUCCCCCACUUCCUUCACGGACUAGGGUUUCCUCUCCACCCUUUCGUCCGCGGGCUCAUGUUCUAUUACGGGCUAGAUUUCCAUGAUCUAGCCCCGAAUUCCUUCCUCAACAUCUCGGCGUUCAUCAUCGUGUGUGAGGCGUUCCUCCGCAUUCCCCCCCCCCCCACUUUGGCCUGUGGCUCAAGGUCUUAAACGUGAACCCGAAAGUGGUCGAGGGUCAACACGCGGAGUGUGGCAGCGCCAUGGUGAGCAAGCUCCCCAACGUCACUUGGCCCAAGGGGACCUUCGUAGAGACCGUGAAGGGAUGGCAACAGGAGUGGUUCUACAUCACGGAACCCCGUGACACCAUAUGGGCCGCCACUCCCGAGUUCAAAUCCGGUCCUCCAAUGUAGCUUGCAUCAUGGAUUAACAAGGGCCUGGACUGGGCGUUGAUGUCUACUACACAACCUUCUUCUUAUAGACGUUGUUGGGCCUCCAAGUGCAGAGGUUUGUAGGACAGUAGCAAAUUUCCCUCAAGUGGAUGACCUAAGGUUUAUCAAUCCGUGGGAGGCAUAGGAUGAAGAUGGUCUCUCUCAAACAACCCUGCAACCAAAUAACAAUGAGUCUCUUGUGUCCCCAACACACCCAAUACAAUGGUAAAUUGUAUAGGUGCACUAGUUCGGCGAAGAGAUGGUGAUACAAGUGCAAUAUGGAUGGUAGAUAUAGGUUUUUGUAAUCUGAAAAUAUAAAAACAGCAAGGUAACUAAUGAUAAAAGUGAGCACAAACGGUAUUGCAAUGCGUUGAAACAAGGCCUAAGGUUCAUACUUUCACUAGUGCAAGUUCUCUCGACAAUAAUAACAUAAUUAGAUCAUAUAACAACCCCUCAACAUGCAACAAAGAGUCACUCCAAAGUCACUAAUGGCGGAGAACAAACGAAGAGAUUAUUGUAGGGUACGAAACCACCUCAAAGUUAUCCUUUCUGAUCGAUCUAUUCAAGAGUCUGUAGUAAAAUAACACGAAGCUAUUCUUUCGUUCGAUCUAUCCUAGAGUUCGUACUAGAAUAACACCUUAAGACACACAUCAACCAAAACCCUAAUGUCACCUAGAUACUCCAAUGUCACCACAAGUAUCCGUGGGUAUGAUUAUACGAUAUGCAUCUCACAAUCUCAGAUUCAUCUAUUCAAACCAACACAAAGUACUUCACAGUGCCCCAAAGUUUCUACCGGAGAGUCAAGACGAAAACGUGUGCCAACCCCUAUGCAUAAUUUCACAAGGUCACUAAACCCGCAAGUUGAUCACCAAAACAUACAUCAAGUAGAUCAUGUGAAUAUCCCAUUGUCACCACAGAUAAGCACAUGCAAGACAUACAUCAAGUGUUCUCAAAUCCUUAAAGACUCAAUCCGAUAAGAUAACUUCAAAGGGAAAACUCAAUCCAUUACAAGAGAGUAGAGGGGGAGAAACAUCAUAAGAUCCAACUAUAAUAGCAAAGCUCGCGAUACAUCAAGAUCAUGCGAAAUCAAGAACACGAGAGAGAGAGAGAGAUCAAACACAUAGCUACUAGUACAUACCCUCAGCCCCGAGGGUGACCUACUCCCUCCUCGUCAUGGAGAGCGCCGGGAUGAUGAAGAUGGCCACCGAUGAGGGAUCCCCCCUCCGGCAGGGUGCCGGAACAGGGCCCCGAUUGAUUUUUGGUGGCUACAGAGGCUUGCGGCGGCGGAACUCCCGAUCUAGGUUAUUUUCUGGAGGUUUCUGUAUUUAUAGGAAUUUUUGGCGUAGGUCUCACGUCAGGGGGGUCUCCGAGUCAUCCACGAGAUAGGGGGACGCGCCCCCACCCUCGUGGACGGCCCGGGGCUCUUCUGGCCCAACUCUUUUACUUCGGGGGCUUCUUUUGGUCCAUAAAAAAUCAUCAAAAAAUUGGCACGUCAAUUGGACUCCGUUUGGUAUUCCUUUUCUGUAAAACUCAAAAACAAGGAAAAAACAAAAACUGGCACUGGGCUCUAGGUUAAUAGGUUAGUCCCAAAAAUCAUAUAAAAUAGCAUAUAAAACAUCCUAGAUGGAUAAUAUAAUAGCAUGGAACAAUCAAAAAUUAUAGAUACGUUGGAGACGUAUCAAGCAUCCCCAAGCUUAAUUCCUACUCGUCCUCGAGUAGGUAAAUGAUAAAAACAGAAUUUUUGAUGUGGAAUGCUACCUAACAUAAUUUUCAAUGUAAUUUUCCUUAUUGUGGCAUGAAUGUUCAGAUCCGAAAGAUCCAAGACAAAAGUUUAAUAUUGACAUAAAAAUAAUAAUACUUCAAGCAUACUAACCAAGCAAUUAUGUCUUCUCAAAAUAACAUAGCCAAAGAAAGCUCAUCCCUACAAAAUCAUAUAGUUUGGCCAUGCUCCAUCUUCGUCACACAAAAUGCUCUCAUCAUGCACAACCCCGAUGACAAGCCAAGCAAUUGUUUCAUACUUUAGUAUUCUCAAACUUUUUCAACUUUCACGCAAUACAUGAGCGCGAGCCAUGGACAUAGCACUAUGGGUGGAAUAGAAUAUGAUGAUGGAGGUUGUGUGGAGAAGACAAAAAGGGAGAAAGUCUCACAUUGAUGCGGCUAAUCAACGGGCUAUGGAGAUGCCCAUCAAUUGAUGUCAAUGCGAGGAGUGGGGAUUGCCAUGCAACGGAUGCACUAGAGCUAUAAAUGUAUGAAAGCUCAACAAAAGAAACUAAGUGGGCGUGCAUCCAACUUGCUUGCUCACGAAGACCUAGUGCAUUUUGAGGAAGCCCAUCGUUGGAAUAUACAAGCCAAGUUCUAUAAUGAAAAAUUCCCACUAGUAUAUGAAAGUGACAAAAUAAGAGACUCUCUAUCAUGAAGAUCAUGGUGCUACUUUGAAGCACAAGUGUGGAAAAAGGAUAGUAAUAUUGUCCCUUCUCUCUUUUUCUCUCUUUUUUUGUUUGGGCCUUCUUUUUUUAUUUGGCAUUUUUUUGGGCCUUCUCUUUUUUUAUUUGGCCUUUCUCUUUUUUUUCCUCACAUAGGACAAUGCUCUAAUAAUGAUGAUCAUCACACUUCUAUUUAUUUACAACUCAAGGAUUACAACUCGAUACUAGAACAAAAUAUGACUCUAUAUGAGUGCCUCCGGCGGUGUACCGGGAUGUGCAAUGAAUCAAGAGUGACAUGUAUAAAAAAUUAUGAACGGUGGCUUUGCCACAAAUAUGAUGUCAACUACAUGAUCAUGCAAGGCAAUAUGACAAUGAUGAAGUGUGUCAUAAUAAACGGAACGGUGGAAAGUUGCAUGGCAAUGUAUCUCGGAAUGGCUAUGGAAAUGCCAUAAUAGGUAGGUAUGGUGGCUGUUUCGAGGAAGAUAUAAGGAGGUUUAUGUGUGAUAGAGCGUAUCGUAUCACGGGGUUUGGAUGCACCGGCGAAGUUUGCACCAACUCUCGAGGUGAGAAAGGGCAAUGCAUGGUACCGAAGAGGCUAGCAAUGAUGGAAGGGUGAGAGUGCGUAUAAUCCAUGGACUCAACAUUAGUCAUAAAGAACUCACAUACUUAUUGCAAAAAUCUACAAGUCAUCAAAACCAAGCACUACGCGCAUGCUCCUAGGGGGAUAGAUUGGUAGUAAAAGACCAUCGCUCGUCCCCGACCGCCACUCAUAAGGAAGGCAAUCAAAGAAACACCUCAUGCUUCAAAUUUGUCACACAACGGUUACCAUACGUGCAUGCUACGGGACUUGCAAACCUCAACACAAGUAUUUCUCAAUUUCACAAUUACUCAACUAGCACAACUCUAAUAUCACCAUCUUUAUAUCUCAAAACAAUUAUCAAGUAUCAAACUUCUCAUAGUUUUUAAUGCACUCUAUAUGAAAGUUUUUAUUAUACCCAUCUUGGAUGCCCAUCAUAUUAGGACUAAUUUUAUAACCAAAGCAAAUUACCAUGCUAUUCUAAAAGACUCUCAAAAUAAUAUAAGUGAAGCAUGAGAGAUCAAUAAUUUCUAUAAAAUAAAACCACCACCGUGAUCUAAAAAGAUAUAAGUGAAGCACUAGAGCAAACGACAAACUACUCCGAAAAAUAUAAGUGGAGAUCAAUGAGUAGUUGAAUAAUUAUGUAACUAUGUGAAGACUCUCUAACAUUUAAGAAUUUCAGAUCUUGGUAUUUUAUUCAAACAGCAAGCAAAAUAAAAUAAAAUGAUGCUCCAAGCAAAACACAUAUCAUGUGGUGAAUAAAAAUAUAGCUCCAAGUAAAGUUACCGAUGAACGAAGACGAAAGAGGGGAUGCCAUCCGGGGCAUCCCCAAGCUUAGGCUCUUGGUUGUCCUUGAAUAUUACCUUGGGGUUCCUUGGGCAUCCCCAAGCUUAGGCUCUUGCCAUUCCUUAUUCCAUAGUCCAUCGAAUCUUUACCCAAAAUUUGAAAACUUCACAACACAAAACUCAACAGAAAACUCGUAAGCUCUGUUAGUAUAAGAAAAUAAAUCACCACUUAGGUACUGUUGUGAACUCAUUCUAAAUUCAUAUUGGUGUAAUAUCUACUGUAUUCCAACUUCUCUAUGGUUCAUACCCUCCGAUACUACUCAUAGAUUCAUCAAAAUAAGCAAACAACACAUAGAAAACAGAAUCUGUCAAAAACAGAACAGUCUGUAGCAAUCUGUAUCAUUCAAAUACUUGUGUAACUCCAAAAAUUCUGAAAUAAAUUGGUGGACGUGAAGAAUUUGUCUAUUAAUAUUCUGCAAAAAUAAUCAACCUAAUAGCACUCUCCAGUAAAAAAUGGCAGCUAAUCUCGUGAGCGCAAAAGUUUCUGUUUUUUUACAGCAAGAUUGCAUAGACUUCACCCAAGUCUUCCCAAAGGUUCUACUUGGCACAAAGACUAAUUAAAACAUAAAACCACAUCUAAACAGAGGCUAUAUGAAUUAUUUAUUACUAAACAGGAGCAAAAUGCAAAGAACAAAAAUAAAAUUGGGUUGCCUCCCAACAAGCGCUAUCGUUUAACGCCCCUAGCUAGGCAUGAUGAUUUCAAUGAUGCUCACAUAAAAGAUAAGGAUUGAAACAUAAAGAGAGCAUAAUGAAGAAUAUGACUAGCACAUUUAAGUCUAACCCACUUCCUAUGCAUAGGGAUUUUGUGAUCAAACAACUUAUGGGAACAAUAAUCAACUAGCAUAGGAAGGCAAAACAAGCAUAACUUCAAAACUUUAAGCACAUAGAGAGGAAACUUGAUAUUAUUGCAAUUCCUACAAGCAUAUGUUCCUCCCUCAUAAUAAUUUUCAGUAUCAUCAUGAAUGAAUUCAACAAUAUAACCAUCACAUAAAGCAUUCUUUUCAUGAUCUACGAGCAUAGAAUUUUUAUUACUCUCCACAUAAGCAAAUUUCUUCUCAUGAAUAAUAGUGGGAGCAAACUCAACAAAAUAACUAUCAUGUGAGGCAUAAUCCAAUUGAAAACUAAAAUCAUGAUGACAAGUUUCAUGGUUAUCAUUAUUCUUCAUAGCAUACAUGUCAUCACAAUAAUCAUCAUAGAUAGCAACUUUAUUCUCAUAAUCAAUUGGAACCUCUUCCGAAAUAGUGGAUUCAUCACUAAAUAAAGUCAUGACCUCUCCAAAUCCACUUUCAUAAUUAUCACAAUAAGAUUCAACACCCUUAAAAAUAGUGGGAUCAUUACUUCCUAAAGUUGACACUCUUCCAAACCCACUUUCAUCAAUAUAAUCAUCAUAAAUAGGAGGCAUGCUAUCAUCAUAAUAAAUUUGCUCAUCAAAACUUGGGGGACAAAAAAUAUCAUCUUCGUCAAACAUAGCAUCCCCAAGCUUGUGGCUUUGCAUAUCUUUAGCAUCAUGGAUAUUCAAAGAAUUCGUACUCACAUCAUUGCAAUCAUGCUCAUCAUUCAAAGAUUUAGUGCCAAACAUUCUAAUGCAUUCUUCCUCUAGCAAUUGAGCACAAUUAUCGGAAUCCUUAUUUUCAUGGAAGACAUUAAAAAGAUGAAGCAUAUGAGGCACCCUCAAUUCCAUUUUUUUGUAGUUUUCUUUUAUAGACUAAACUAGUGAUAAAACAAGAAACUAAAAGAUUCGAUUGCAAGAUCUAAAGAUAUACCUUCAAGCACUCACCUCCCCGGCAACGGCGCCAGAAAUUGCUUGAUGUCUACUACACAACCUUCUUCUUGUAGACGUUGUUGGGCCUCCAAGUGCAGAGGUUUCUAGGACAGUAGCAAAUAUCCCUCAAGUGGAUGACCUAAGAUUUAUCAAUCCGUGGGAGGCGUAGGAUGAAGAUGGUCUCUCUCAAACAACCCUGCAACCAAAUAACAAUGAGUCUCUUGUGUCCCCAACACACCCAAUACAAUGGUAAAUUGUAUAGGUGCACUAGUUCGGCGAAGAGAUGGUGAUACAAGUGCAAUAUGGAUGGUAGAUAUAGGUUUUUGUAAUCUGAAAAUAUAAAAACAGCAAGGUAACUAAUGAUAAAAGUGAGCACAAACGGUAUUGCAAUGCGUUGAAACAAGGCCUAAGGUUCAUACUUUCACUAGUGCAAGUUCUCUCGACAAUAAUAACAUAAUUAGAUCAUAUAACAAUCCCUCAACAUGCAACAAAGAGUCACUCCGAAGUCACUAAUAGCGGAGAACAAACGAAGAGAUUAUUGUAGGGUACGAAACCACCUCAAAGUUAUCCUUUCUGAUCGAUCUAUUCAAGAGUCCGUAGUAAAAUAACACGAAGCUAUUCUUUCCGUUCGAUCAAUCCUUGAGUUCGUACUAGAAUAACACCUUAAGACACACAUCAACCAAAACCCUAAUGUCACCUAGAUACUCCAAUGUCACCACAAGUAUCCGUGGGUAUGAUUAUACGAUAUGCAUCACACAAUCUCAGAUUCAUCUAUUCAAACCAACACAAAGUACUUCAAAGAGUGCCCCAAAGUUUCUACCGGAGAGUCAAGACGAAAACGUGUGCCAACCCCUAUGCAUAAUUUCACAAGGUCACUAAACCCGCAAGUUGAUCACCAAAACAUACAUCAAGUAGAUCAUGUGAAUAUCCCAUUGUCACCACAGAUAAGCACAUGCAAGACAUACAUCAAGUGUUCUCAAAUCCUUAAAGACUCAAUCCGAUAAGAUAACUUCAAAGGGAAAACUCAAUCCAUUCCAAGAGAGUAGAGGGGGAGAAACAUCAUAAGAUCCAACUAUAAUAGCAAAGCUCGCGAUACAUCAAGAUCAUGCGAAAUCAAGAACACGAGAGAGAGAGAGAGAUCAAACACAUAGCUACUAGUACAUACCCUCAGCCCCGAGGGUGACCUACUCCCUCCUCGUCAUGGAGAGCGCCGGGAUGAUGAAGAUGGCCACCGAUGAGGGAUCCCCCCUCCGGCAGGGUGCCGGAACAGGGCCCCGAUUGAUUUUUGGUGGCUACAGAGGCUUGCGGCGGCGGAACUCCCGAUCUAGGUUAUUUUCUGGAGGUUUCUGUAUUUAUAGGAAUUUUUGGCGUAGGUCUCACGUCAGGGGGGGGGUCUCCGAGUCGUCCACGAGAUAGGGGGACGUGCCCCCCACCCUCGUGGACGGCCCGGGGCUCUUCUGGCCCAACUCUUUUACUCCAGGGGCUUCUUUUGGUCCAUAAAAAUCAUCAAAAAAUUGGCACGUCAAUUGGACUCCGUUUGGUAUUCCUUUUUUGUAAAACUCAAAAACAAGGAAAAAACAGAAACUGGCACUGGGCUCUAGGUUAAUAGGUUAGUCCCAAAAAUCAUAUAAAAUAGCAUAUAAAUGCAUAUAAAACAUCCUAGAUGGAUAAUAUAUAUAAUAGCAUGGAACACUCAAAAAUUAUAGAUACGUUGGAGACGUAUCAGACGUCGUCCGACGAGGUGAUGACGCUGCAGAAGCGCGUCAAGAGCAUGAUGGAGAAGAACACUAGUCUUGCCAACGUGAUCCAGGUGAUGCUUUUUCGUCGGAUUCUCCCCUGCCAACGUCGGACUCUCCAUAUGUGGCAGUUUGAUCCGGUCAGUCCCCGGACCUUGCAGCGGUUCUUCGGCACAACGCACGAAGAUAUAUGGAAGCUGCUUUUCAAGGCCCAGAAGUUGUGGCCGAAAACGACCGAAGACCUCGGCCUCGACUGCGCUCAUCCGGCUACUCCAGUAAGUUUUUCAGGUUUCCAAACGUAUCCUCAACUUGUAGAUCCAAGGAGUAUGCUAAGCCUUCCCCUCAUCCUUCAGGGCUGAACGAAGAAGGCGGGGCGGAUCCGGCGCCGGAGAAGAAGGCCAAGAAGAAGGGCAAGGAGGCCAGAAGUGGCCUUUGCUGUAAAGGUACUUCAGACAUAGCGUUCGAACAUACCGAAGCUCUCUCCUCCCACGAGGGAAAUGAAGACGAAGAGGAAGAGGAGGAGAGCAAUUCUCCCCUUAAGGGGGGUAAGAAGAAAAGGGGGGCUUCCGUGGACCUAGAGGCGGAGGCGUCCAAGAAGGGGAAGAUCUCCCUUUCGGACAAUUCGGAAUCGGACGCCGAAGCCGUCCCUGAGUGGCACCCCAGGCUGAAGCCCCUGGCCGAAUCGUAAGUAUUCAAAGAUACUGUAUAUAUCCAUUUUUUAUAAAUUGUAGGAUGACAUAUCAUCUAUGUGUUUCAGUCCGGCCCGUGAUCUCCCCCAACAAUCAUCGUCCUCGGGGAAUUCUCUGGCACCGGAGAUGAUGGAGAGUGAAACGCCUCCGCGAGCCUCUCCACCUCAUGCCGCGGACGACACCGAGGUGUUGUCCCAGAGGACCUCUCUGGGCCAGGGAGAGGUGCGGAAGGCCGCAGAAACGGCGCCAGAGGGUAAUGCCUCGGUUGCCGAAAACAUGGGGGGCACAACCCCCAUGGAAACUGAUGACGGGGGCCCGGACCAGUCCGGCCCCCAGCCGAAUACGACUCUGGAGACCCACGUGGCUCCGGAAUCGAGUGAGCAGCCCCCUUUGAAGGAGGGGGGAGCUCCGACUCCACCGACGACCUCCAUCAAUCCAGAGGUGUCACAACCCUAGUCAGUGCAUGCAUUAGAGUGUUUGCAGCAUGUUUAAAUUUCAGUUAAACUUGAAAUGGGGAUGUUCAAACCCUAGCACCAAAUGGAACUCAACUAGGUUCAAUCCAAAAUCUUUUUCAAAGAACCCAAGAUGCCCUUUGAAAAUGUUCAUGAUUUGUCAUAAAGGAGAAAACCUCUGCCAAAAAUGAUGAAUAUAUUUCUAGGACAUUCUGGAUCUUUGAAUUAACUCAUAUCGUAUUUGAAUUGGAGCAUUUAAAUCCUAUAAAUAUUUUUAAAUGCUCUAAUAAUUCUGAAACUAGUUUUGGGUUGUUGGAAAUAAUCCAAACACUGCCCACAAUUAUUUUCAGGAUUUUACAAAAUGGAUUAGUAUUUUUACUAAUUCAAAACAGAAUAAAAGAAAUAGAAAACUGAAACAAAAGGAAAAGAGAGCUUACCUGUAACUUACCUGGACCUACUACCUGUGCAGCCCACUUGGCAGCCCAUCCAACUGGCCCAGCCCACCAGAAGCCCCACCAUCUUCAACCUCUGCCAGUAGGCAGAGGCGUGUCGACGCGCGCGCGCCCGAGCUCCACCUCCUGCUUCCACCUCCUGCUUCCCCCUCGCGCUGUCUCCGCGCCACAGGAACGGCCUCGACCCCCUCUGCCUCUCCCCUCACUCUAGAGCUCUCUCCCUCUCCUCUAGCUCCCUCCUCGCAGCACCACCGAACACGCCGUCGCCGCCGCUUGCUGCUGUUGCGGCCACCGCCACGUCCUCGCCCCUCCGUCGUGUCCACGAGCUCCGCGCCGUCGUCCUCGUCUUCUUCGUCAAGCCGUGCGUCUCUGGAUGCCCUGUGGAGCCGCCAUCGCCGUCGUCUUCACCUCCGGCCGUCCGAGAUCGCCGUCGCUGUUUUGCCCGCAUUGGACCUCCACCGAGCUUGCUGACGCCUUCGUCGGAUCCGCUGUGAGCCCCGCUGCCGUUUCCCCCUCUAUGUUUUGUCACUCGCGCGCCGUAGCCGUGCUAACCACCGGACCCGAGCGGUCGCGCCGCCGUGGAUCCUCACCAUCAUGGCCAGAGCCACCGCAGCUCGCGCCCGCGCAUGCCAUCAUGCUCAGGAGCCUCCCAGAAGACCAAAGCCGCCGCCCGCAGCUCCCGCAGUGCCCUGCAGCACCCCGCGCACACCUGGCCGUGCUCCGGCCGCCGCCUUGAGCUCGUUCCCAGCGAGCUCAGGCCACCCCCGCCUCUCCCGCUUGCUCCAGACGACACGGACGAGCCCUGGCUCCUCGCCCGUGGCCUCCGCCGCCCAAAUGGUCGCCGGAGCGACGAACCCGACGCGCUCUGCCGCGUUCGGCCUCGCCGGCGACUAACCGCCGGUCAAACCGGUCAACCCGCGCUAAUUAACCCCGCCCUCCGUGACACUGACAGGCGGGGCCCACGACCUAACUAACUAGCUAACAAAAAUAGAUUAAGGUUAAUCUAAUCACAGUGGCCCCACGCGUCGGCGUUGACCUUGCUGACGUGGCCGUUGACCGGACCCACCUGUCUGUGUCACUAAUUGUCACUGGGCCACUGACUAGUGGACCCCACUGGUCAAGUUUGACCUGUACCAUCGCCUUUGACUGCUGACGUCACCCUAACGUAAUGCUGACGCAACAAAUCAUUUACUGGAUUUAUUCUUAUUCAGGAAAUUCCAGAAAAUGCCCAAAACUUCUAAAAAUCAUAGAAAUUAAUCUGUAACUCCAAAUGCAAAGAUUUAUAUAUGAAAAAUGAUAAAAAAAUCCAAUCUUUCCAUCUGUACUGGUUUCAUGCAUGUUAAAGCAACUUAACCUUGCUGUUUAGUGCAAACAUGAUAAUGCACUAUUUAAAUUCAUAAGUUGAGUUUGGGAUUGAACCUUUGGUUCAAAAUGACUCAAACCCAGCUGGUUGUAGUUGCAUUAGCCCAACACACUCAUUUUGCCAUGUCAUGAUCAUGCAUCAUAUUGUGCAUCGCAUUGAUUGUAUUUCUUCUCUAUUGCCGGUAUUUGUCCCCUCUCGGUAGACGAUGUUCCGACGUUGUGAUCGUUGACACUGAUGAAGACUCAAUGCUAUCUUCAGAAGAGCCAGGCAAGCAAAACCCCCCUUGUUCAUUCCGAUGCAAUCCCACUCUCCCGCUUUUGCUCUCUUUUACUGCAUUAGGACAACAACGAUUCAACUGUUACAUGCUAUGGUAGUUGAACCCCUUUACUCUACAUGACCUAUCAUUGCCACAGUAAAUAGAUGAAACCCACUAGCAUGAGUAGGAGUUGUUUGAGCCCUGAUGUGCCUACUCAUUCAUGCUUGUUUGUCUAUCCUGCUACUGCUUAGAGUUGAGUCGGGUCUGAUUCAUCGGGGAUGAAUUGGAAUGGUGAUGAACAUGUCCUACUGUGUGUGAGCUAAGUGUGUGAACAUGAUUUGGUAAAGGUAGUGGUGAGAGGCCAUGUAGGAGUACAUGGUGGGUUGUCUCAUUGAAACCGUCCUCAGGAACUGAGCUCUGUGUUUGUGAUCCAUGAACAGCUACUACCACACGUUGGGCCCUGAAAUAUGACCGUGCUCGACUUAUUAACCGCCCCUGUCCUCUGUCCAGGAGUUGCAACUAGUUUCUGGUGUUUGUAGGAUAUGUGUUGGAGGUCGUGCGUAGCGCUGACCCUAGGGGUGGGCUAUGAUGCGGUAGAUACACCGUGGCACGGUGUACCGAGUGCCCGUUUGGUGUCUCGGGAACCCUACACACAUCGUUUGGGGCUGUGAGCGAAACCCCGGCCGGAUCUCCUCGCGGAUGGAACCCGAAUAGGUGAUAAACCUGGACUAGAGACUUGUGUGGUUAGUUAGGUCGUGGUCUACACCCACGUCGGCUUUCGCUUGAAGUCUGCCGAGCACAUGUCGUGUGCAGACGCUAAGUGGUGGAAACAUGUGUGAAGAAGUACACCCCUGCAGGGUUAUAAAUGAUCUAUUCGAAUAGCCGUGUCCGCGGUAAAGGACUUCUGGAUUGCCUGUACAGUUCAUAGAUAACUUGAAGUGGAUACUCUAAAACUCGCAAGAUAAGUGUGAGUGCUAUGGAUGGCGUUCUCGUCAGGAGACGGGAGCGGAUCCAUAGUGGUGUAUUGAUUGGUGAAUAUGUGGACUCGUGUGCGCCACCUCAAAAGAGUUACUUGCAGUCGUAGUUCAGGAUAGCCACUGAGUCAAAGCUGGCUUGCUGAAGUUAAACUCCACCACCCCCUUUGUUGAUACCGAUGCAUAUGUAGAUAGUUCUGAUGUAAGUCUUGCUGGGUACAUUUGUACUCACGUUUGCCUAUUUUAUGUUUUGCAGAGAGACUUCAGUCUCGUUAGUAGUUCCGCGUGGACUUCGACGUUUAGCUUGUUACCUCAGCUACGAUCUUGUGCCCUCGGCAGGGUCUUGUAGAUAGUCAGGCUUCUCGGCCUUCUUCAUUUGUAGUUGUCUGUACUUAGACAAGUUAAGCUUCCGCAUGUGCUUGUUGCUUGUAUGCUCUGUAUGUUGGGGUCAUGAGACCCAUGUUUGUAAUACUUGGCUCCUCGGAGCCUAAUGAAUAAAUACUCUUAGUCGUAGAUGUUGGAAAUAUGCCCUAGAGGCAAUAAUAAAUGGUUAUUAUUAUAUUUCUUUGUUCAUGGUAAUUGUCUAUUAUUCAUGCUAUAAUUGUAUUGUCCGGAAAUCGUGAUACAUGUGUGAAUACAUAGACCACAACCUGUCCCUAGUAAGCCUCUAGUUGACUAGCUCGUUGAUCAACAGAUAGUCACGGUUUCCUGACUAUGGACAUUGGAUGUCAUUGAUAACGGGAUCACAUCAUUAGGAGAAUGAUGUGAUGGACAAGACCCAACUUAAGCAUAGCAUAAAAGAUCGUGUAGUUUCGUUUGCUAGAGCUUUUCCAAUGUCAAGUAUCUUUUCCUUAGACCAUGAGAUCGUGCAACUCCCGGAUACCGUAGGAGUGCUUUGGGUGUGCCAAUCGUCACAACGUAACUGGGUGACUAUAAAGGUGCAUUACGGGUAUCUCCGAAAGUGUCUGUUGGGUUGGCACGGAUCGAGACUGCGAUUUGUCGCUCCGUGUGACGGAGAGGUAUCUCUGGGCCCACUCGGUAAUGCAUCAUCAUAAUGAGCUCAAUGUGACUAAGGCGUUAGUCACGGGAUCAUGCAUUGCGGUACGAGUAAAGAGACUUGCCGGUAACGAGAUUGAACAAGGUAUUGGGAUACCGACGAUCGAAUCUCGGGCAAGUAACAUACCGAUUGACAAAGGGAAUUGUAUACGGGAUUGAUUGAAUCCUCGACACCGUGGUUCAUCCGAUGAGAUCAUCGUGGAACAUGUGGGAGCCAACAUGGGUAUCCAGAUCCCGCUGUUGGUUAUUGACCGGAGAGGCGUCUCGGUCAUGUCUGCAUGCCUCCCGAACCCGUAGGGUCUACACACUUAAGGUCCGGUGACGCUAGGGUUGUAGAGAUAUAUGUAUGCGGAAACCCGAAAGUUGUUCGGAGUCCCGGAUGAGAUCCCGGACGUCACGAGAGGUUCCGGAAUGGUCCGGAGGUGAAGAAUUAUAUAUAGGAAGUCCAGUUUCGGCCACCGGGAAAGUUUCGGGGGUUAUCGGUAUUGUACCGGGACCACCGGGUGGGGCCACCUGUCCCGGAGGGCCCCGUGGGCUGAAAGUGGAAGGGAACCAGCCCCUAGUGGGCUGGGGCGCCCCCCUUGGGCCUCCCCCCUGCGCCUAGGGUUGGGAACCCUAAGGGGGGAAGUUCCCCCUUGCCUUGGGGGGCAAGGCAACCCCUUCCCCCCCUUGUGGCCGCCGCCCCCCUUGAGAUCCCAUCUCUUGGGGCUGGCGCACCCCCCCAGGGGCCUAUAUAAAGGGGGGGGAGGGAGGGAAGCACACAACAGCCUUGGGCGCCUCCCUCCUCCCCUGCAACACCUCUCUCUCUCUCGUAGAAGCUCGGCGAAGCCCUGCACGAGACCCGCUACAUCCACCACCACGCCGUCGUGCUGCUGGAUCUCCAUCAACCUCUCCUUCCCCCUUGCUGGAUCAAGAAGGAGGAGACGUCGCUGCACCGUACGUGUGUUGAACGUGGAGGUGCCGUCCGUUCGGCACUCGGUCAUCGGUGAUUUGGAUCACGGCGAGUACGACUCCGUCAUCCACGUUCAUUGGAACGCUUCCGCUCGCGAUCUACAAGGGUAUGUAGAUGCACUCCCUUCCCCUCGUUGCUAGUAGACUCCAUAGAUGCAUAUUGGUGAACGUAGGAAAAUUUUAAAAUUAUGCUACGAUUCCCAACAGUGGCAUCAUGAGCCAGGUUUAUGCGUAGUUACUAUGCACGAGUAGAACACAAAGCAGUUGUGGGCGUUGAGUUUGCUAAUUCUUCUUGCCGCUACUAGUCGUUUCUUGUUUCGGCGGCAUUGUAGGAUGAAGCGGCCCGGACCGACCUUACACGUACGCUUACGUGAGACAGGUUCCACCGACUGACAUGCACUAGUUGCAUAAGGUGGCUAGCGGGUGUCUGUCUCUCCUACUUUAGUCGGAACAGAUUCGAUGAAAAGGGUCCUUAUGAAGGGUAAAUAGAAAUUGGCAAAUCACGUUGUGGUCAUACGUAGGUAAGAAAUCGUUCUUGCUAGAAACCUACAAACCACGUAAAAAAACUUGCAACAACAAUUAGAGGACGUCUAACUUGUUUUUGCAGCAAGUGCUAUGUGAUGUGAUAUGGCCAGAAGAUGUGAUGAAUGAUAUGUGAUGUAUGAGAUUGAUCAUAUUCUUGUAAUAGGAAUCACGACUUGCAUGUCGAUGAGUAUGACAACCGGCAGGAGCCAUAGGAGUUGUCUUUAUUAUUUUGUAUGACCUGCGUGUCAUUAAAUAAACGCCAUGUAAAUUACUUUACUUUAUUGCUAAACGCGUUAGCCAUAGAAGUAGAAGUAAUCGUUGGCGUGACGACUUCAUGAAGACACAAUGAUGGAGAUCAUGAUGAUGGAGAUCAUGGUGUCAUGCCGGUGACAAAGAUGAUCAUGGUGCCCCGAAGAUGGAGAUCAAAGGAGCAUGAUGAUAUUGGCCAUAUCAUGUCACUAUUUGAUUGCAUGUGAUGUUUAUCAUGUUUUUGCAUCUUAUUUGCUUAGAACGACGGUAGCAAGUAGGAUGAUCCCUUAUAAUAAUUUCAAGAAAGUGUUCACCCUAACUGUGCACCGUUGCGAAGGUUCGCUGUUUCGAAGCACCACGUGAUGAUCGGGUGUGAUAGAUUCUAACGUUCGAAUACAACGGGUGUUGACGAGCCUAGCAUGUACAGACAUGGCCUCGGAACACACGCAAUACGCUUAGGUUCACUUGACGAGCCUAGCAUGUACAGACAUGGCCUCGGAACACGGAGGACCGAAAGGUCGAGCAUGAGUCGUAUAGAAGAUACGAUCAACAUGGAGAUGUUUACCGAUCUUGACUAGUCCGUCUCACGUGAUGAUCGGACACGGCCUAGUCGAAUUCGGAUCAUGUUUCACUUAGAUGACUAGAGGAAUGUCUAUCUGAGUGGGAUUUCAUUAAAUAAUUUGAUUAUAUGAACUUAAUUAUCAUGAACUUAGUCUAAAUCUUUACACUAUGUAUUGUAGAUCAAAUGGCCCACGUUGUCCUCAAUUUCAACGCGUUCCUAGAGAAAACCAAGCUGAAAGAUGAUGGCAGCAACUAUACGGACUGGGUCCGGAACUUGAGGAUCAUCCUCAUAGCAGCCAAGAAAGAUUAUGUCUUAGAAGCACCGCUAGGUGAAGCACCAAUCCCUGAGAACCAAGACGUUAUGAACGCUUGGCAGCAGCGUGCUGAUGAUUACUCCCUCGUUCAGUGCGGCAUGCUUUACAGCUUAGAACCGGGUCUCCAAAAGCGUUUUGAGAAACAUGGAGCAUAUGAGAUGUUCGAGGAGCUGAAACUGGUUUUUCAAGCUCAUGCCCGGGUCGAGAGAUAUGAUGUCUCCCACAAGUUCUUCAGCUGUAAAAUGGAGGAGAACAGUUCUGUUAGUGAGCACAUACUCAGAAUGUCUGGGUUGCACAACCGCUUGUCUCAGCUGGGAGUUAAUCUCCCGGAUGAUGCGGUCAUUGACAGAAUCCUCCAGUCGCUUCCACCAAGCUACAAGAGCUUUGUGAUGAACUACAAUAUGCAGGGGAUGGAAAAGACCAUUCCCGAGGUAUAUUCAAUGCUGAAAUCAGCUGAGGUAGAGAUCAGAAAAUAACAUCAAGUGUUGAUGGUGAAUAAAACCACUAAGUUCAAGAAGGGCAAGGGUAAGAAGAACUUCAAGAUGGACGGCAAGGGAGUUGCCGCGCCCGGUAAACCAGUUACUGGGAAGAAGUCAAAGCAUGGACCCAAGCCUGAGACUGAGUGCUUUUAUUGCAAGGGAAGUGGUCACUGGAAGCGGAACUGCCCCAAAUACUUAGCGGACAAGAAGGCCGGCAACGCCAAAGGUAUAUGUGAUAUACAUGUAAUUGAUGUGUACCUUACCAGUACUCGUAGUAGCUCCUGGGUAUUUGAUACCGGUGCGGUUGCUCAUAUUUGUAACUCAAAGCAGGAACUACGGAAUAAACGGAGACUGGCAAAGGACGAGGUGACGAUGCGCGUCGGGAAUGGUUCCAAGGUCGAUGUGAUCGCCGUCGGCACGCUACCUCUGCAUCUACCCACAGGAUUAGUUUUAAACCUCAAUAAUUGUUAUUUAGUGCCAGCUUUAAGCAUGAACAUUGUAUCUGGAUCUCGUUUAAUUCGAGAUGGCUACUCAUUUAAAUCCGAGAAUAAUGGUUGUUCUAUUUAUUUGAGAGAUAUGUUUUAUGGUCAUGCCCCGCUAGUCAAUGGUUUAUUUUUGAUGAAUCUCGAACGUGAUGUUACACAUGUUCAUAGUGUGAAUACCAAAAGAUGUAAAGUUGAUAACGAUAGUCCCACAUACUUGUGGCACUGCCGCCUUGGUCACAUUGGUGUCAAGCGCAUGAAGAAGCUCCAUGCAGAUGGACUUUUGGAGUCUCUUGAUUACGAAUCAUUUGACACGUGCGAACCAUGCCUCAUGGGUAAGAUGACCAAGACUCCGUUCUCCGAAACAAUGGAGCGAGCAACCAACUUAUUGGAAAUCAUACAUACCGAUGUGUGUGGUCCAAUGAGUGUUGAGGCUCGCGGAGGAUAUCGUUAUGUUCUCACUCUCACUGAUGAUUUAAGUAGAUAUGGGUAUGUCUACCUAAUGAAACACAAGUCUGAAACCUUUGAAAAGUUCAAGGAAUUUCAGAGUGAAGUUGAGAAUCAACGUGACAGGAAAAUAAAAUUCUUACGAUCAGAUCGUGGUGGAGAAUAUUUAAGUCACGAGUUUGGUGCACACUUAAGGAAAUGUGGAAUAGUUUCACAACUCACGCCGCCUGGAACACCUCAGAGAAACGGUGUGUCCGAACGUCGUAAUCGCACUCUAUUGGAUAUGGUGCGAUCUAUGAUGUCUCUUACCGAUUUACCGCUCUCAUUUUGGGGCUAUGCUUUAGAGACUGCCGCAUUCACUUUAAAUAGGGCACCGUCGAAAUCCGUUGAGACGACACCGUAUGAAUUAUGGUUUGGGAAGAAACCUAAGCUGUCGUUUCUAAAAGUUUGGGGAUGCGAUGCUUAUGUCAAGAAACUUCAACCUGAAAAGCUCGAACCCAAGUCGGAAAAAUGUGUCUUCAUAGGAUACCCUAAGGAAACUAUUGGGUAUACCUUCUACCUCAGAUCCGAAGGCAAGAUCUUUGUUGCCAAGAACGGGUCCUUUCUGGAGAAGGAGUUUCUCUCGAAAGAAUUGAGUGGGAGGAAAGUGGAACUUGAUGAGGUGAUAGUCACCCCUUCCGAACCGGAAAGUAGCGCAGCGCGGGAAAAUGUUCCUGUGGUGCCUACACCGACUGGGGAGGAAGUUAAUGAUGAUGAUCAUGAAGCUUCGGAUCAAGUUACUGAACUUCGUAGGUCCACAAGGACACGUUCCGCACCAGAGUGGUACGGCAACCCUGUCCUGGAAAUCAUGUUGUUAGACAACGGUGAACCUUCGAACUAUGAAGAAGCGAUGGCGGGCCCGGAUUCCGACAAAUGGCUAGAAGCCAUGAAAUCCGAGAUAGAAUCCAUGUAUGAAAACAAAGUAUGGACUUUGACUGACUUGCCCGAUGAGCGGCGAGCCAUAGAAAACAAAUGGAUCUUUAAGAAGAAGACGGACGCAGAUGGUAAUGUGACCAUCUACAAAGCUCGACUGGUCGCUAAGGGUUAUCGACAAGUUCAAGGGGUUGACUACGAUGAGACUUUCUCACCCGUAGCGAAGCUGAAGUCCGUCUGAAUCAUGUUAGCAAUUGCCGCAUACUAUGAUUAUGAGAUAUGGCAGAUGGACGUCAAAACGGCAUUCCUUAACGGCUUCAUUAAGGAAGAGUUGUAUAUGAUGCAGCCGGAAGGUUUUGUCGAUCCUAAGAAUGCUAACAAAGUAUGCAAGCUCCAACGCUCAAUCUAUGGGCUGGUGCAAGCAUCUCGGAGUUGGAACAUUCGCUUUGAUGAGAUGAUCAAAGCGUUUGGGUUUACACAGACUUAUGGAGAAGCCUGUGUUUACAAGAAAGUGAGUGGGAGCUCUGUAGCAUUUCUCAUAUUAUAUGUGGAUGACAUAUUAUUGAUGGGAAAUGAUAUAGAAUUCUUGGAAAGUAUAAAGGCCUAUUUGAAUAAGUGUUUUUCAAUGAAGGACCUUGGAGAAGCUGCUUAUAUAUUAGGCAUCAAGAUCUAUAGAGAUAGAUCAAGACGCCUCAUUGGUCUUUCACAGAGUACAUACCUUGACAAGAUAUUGAAGAAGUUCAGUAUGGAUCAGUCCAAGAAGGGGUUCUUGCCUGUAUUGCAAGGUGUGCAAUUGAGCACGGCUCAAUGCCCGACCACGGCAAAAGAUAUAGAAGAGAUGAGUGUCAUCCCCUAUGCCUCGGCCAUAGGGUCUAUUAUGUAUGCCAUGCUGUGUACCAGACCUGAUGUAAACCUUGCCGUAAGUUUGGUAGGAAGGUACCAAAGUAAUCCCGGCAAGGAACACUGGACAGCGGUCAAGAAUAUCCUGAAGUACCUGAAGAGGACUAAGGAUAUGUUUCUCGUUUAUGGAGGUGACGAAGAGCUCGUCGUAAAGGGUUACGUCGACGCUAGCUUCGACACAGAUCUGGAUGACUCGAAGUCACAGACCGGAUACGUGUAUAUAUUGAAUAGAGGAGCAGUAAGCUGGUGCAGUUGCAAGCAAAGCAUCGUGGCGGGAUCUACAUGUGAAGCGGAAUACAUGGCAGCCUCGGAGGCAGCACAGGAAGCAGUCUGGAUGAAGGAGUUCAUUACCGACCUAGGGGUGAUUCCCAAUGCGUCGGGCCCAAUGACUCUCUUCUGUGACAACACUGGAGCUAUUGCCCUUGCGAAGGAGCCCAGGUUUCACAGGAAGACCAGGCAUAUCAAGCGUCGCUUCAACUCCAUUCGUGAAAGUGUUCAAAAUGGAGACAUAGAUAUUUGUAAAGUACAUACGGACCUAAAUGUAGCAGAUCCGUUGACUAAACCUCUCCCUAGAGCAAAACAUGAUCAACACCAGGACGCAAUGGGUGUUCGAUUCAUCACAAUGUAACUAGAUUAUUGACUCUAGUGCAAGUGGGAGACUGUUGGAAAUAUGCCCUAGAGGCAAUAAUAAAUGGUUAUUAUUAUAUUUCUUUGUUCAUGGUAAUUGUCUAUUAUUCAUGCUAUAAUUGUGUUGUCCGGAAAUCGUGAUACAUAUGUGAAUACAUAGACCACAACCUGUCCCUAGUAAGCCUCUAGUUGACUAGCUCGUUGAUAAACAGAUAGUCACGGUUUCCUGACUAUGGACAUUGGAUGUCAUUGAUAACGGGAUCACAUCAUUAGGAGAAUGAUGUGAUGGACAAGACCCAACUUAAGCAUAGCAUAAAAGAUCGUGUAGUUUCGUUUGCUAGAGCUUUUCCAAUGUCAAGUAUCUUUUCCUUAGACCAUGAGAUCGUGCAACUCCCGGAUACCGUAGGAGUGCUUUGGGUGUGCCAAACGUCACAACGUAACUGGGUGACUAUAAAGGUGCAUUACGGGUAUCUCCGAAAGUGUCUGUUGGGUUGGCACGGAUCGAGACUAGGAUUUGUCGCUCCGUGUGACGGAGAGGUAUCUCUGGGCCCACUCGGUAAUGCAUCAUCAUAAUGAGCUCAAUGUGACUAAGGCGUUAGUCACGGGAUCAUGCAUUGCGGUACGAGUAAAGAGACUUGCCGGUAACGAGAUUGAACAAGGUAUUGGGAUACCGACGAUCGAAUCUCGGGCAAGUAACAUACCGAUUGACAAAGGGAAUUGUAUACGGGAUUGAUUGAAUCCUUGACACCGUGGUUCAUCCGAUGAGAUCAUCGUGGAACAUGUGGGAGCCAACAUGGGUAUCCAGAUCCCACUGUUGGUUAUUGACCGGAGAGGCGUCUCGGUCAUGUCUGCAUGCCUCCCGAACCCGUAGGGUCUACACACUUAAGGUCCGGUGACGCUAGGGUUGUAGAGAUAUAUGUAUGCGAAAACCCGAAAGUUGUUCGGAGUCCCGGAUGAGAUCCCGGACGUCACGAGAGGUUCCGGAAUGGUCCGGAGGUGAAGAAUUAUAUAUAGGAAGUCCAGUUUCGGCCACCGGGAAAGUUUCGGGGGUUAUCGGUAUUGUACCGGGACCACCGGGUGGGGCCACCUAUCCCGGAGGGCCCCGUGGGCUGAAAGUGGAAGGGAACCAGCACCUAGUGGGCUGGGGCGCCCCCCUUGGGCCUCCCCCUGCGCCUAGGGUUGGGAACCCUAAGGGGGGGAGUUCCCCCUUGCCUUGGGGGGCAAGGCAACCCCUUCCCCCCCUUGUGGCCGCCGCCCCCCUUGAGAUCCCAUCUCUUGGGGCUGGCGCACCCCCCCCAGGGGCCUAUAUAAAGGGGGGGAGGGAGGGCAGCACACAACAGCCUUGGGCGCCUCCCUCCUCCCCUGCAACACCUCUCUCUCUCUCGUAGAAGCUCGGCGAAGCCCUGCACGAGACCCGCUACAUCCACCACCACGCCGUCGUGCUGCUGGAUCUCCAUCAACCUCUCCUUCCCCCUUGCUGGAUCAAGAAGGAGGAGACGUCGCUGCACUGUACGUGUGUUGAACGCGGAGGUGCCGUCCGUUCGGCACUCGGUCGUCGGUGAUUUGGAUCACGGCGAGUACGACUCCGUCAUCCACGUUCAUUGGAACGCUUCCGCUCGCGAUCUACAAGGGUAUGUAGAUGCACUCCCUUCCCCUCGUUGCUAGUAGACUCCAUAUAUGCAUCUUGGUGAACGUAGGAAAAUUUUAAAAUUAUGCUACGAUUCCCAACAGUAGAGUCUUGUUGUGAUGCCAUGUUGUAUUUGCACAUAUCGAGCAUAUUGUGUGUAUGAUUGAAAUGCUUGGUAUGUGUGGGAUCCGACAAUCUAGUUGUUUAUCCUUGGUAGCCUCUCUUAUGGGGAAAUGUAGUCUGGUGCUUCCACUAAGCCUUGGUAGUCCGCUACAGCCCGGUUUACCGGAGUCCUGGUAGCCCAGCACUACUGCUCCGAAACACCCAGACUGGCCGGCAUGUGAUACAAUUCGUUCUUGUGUCUGUCCCUUCGGGGAAAUGUCACGCGGUGACAUCCAGAGUCCUGCUAGCCUGCUACAGCCCGGUUUACCGGAGUCCGGUUAGCCCAGUUGCUACAGCCCGAAUUCACACGCUGAUGACUGACACGUUCGAUGCUGGUUCAUGUAUGCCUGUCCCCGUAAGUUAGCGCCACUUUGGGUUCACGACUAGUCAUGUUGGCUCGGGUUCUGUGUCAUAUGGAUGCUAGCGACACUAUCAUAUACGUGAGCCAAAAGGCGCAAACGGUCCCGGACCAGGUAAGGUGGCACCCGUGGGAAUACCGUGCGUCAGGCCGCAAAGUGAUAUGAUGCGUUACAUGCUAGAUUGGUGUGACUUAGGAUCGGGGUCCUGACAGCUUUGGUAUCAGAGUCUGACUGCCUGUAGGGUCCAAGCCAAACUGGUCGAAGUUGAGUCUAGAAAUGCUCUAGUUAUAUAAGGGAAUUGAUUGUGGAAGGGAACGUAAGGCUCUUUUUACUCCUUUACCUUAUGCCUUUCUGAUCUGAGUCGCCCUCUUCUUUUCUACGGGGAUUAAGAAUUAGACCUUCUCAUCUAUCUAUCAGGAUCACGUGUUACUAAUCCGUAGACUCGUAGGAUUGUUGGUUUCAAGCCCCAAUUCAGUUUCUACUAUUUCUGUAUGUUCAUAGUUGGUCUCGGAACCUUGAUAUGAUGUUGUGGAGUGGUUAUGCCACCAUUUUGCAGGAUGUCUCAAAUCUUUUUGAGCAUUUACAGCCGUUAUGCUGUCCGAGUCAUCCUAGCUCUCUAAAUAGUCUGAUGCAUUUGCAAAUCCCUUCUUCCCGUUUCUAAUGUCCUUUUGGGCCAGAUUAAGCACACCAAACGGUCUGUUGAGGUACUCCGUUGCCUCGGUGUAUAUGUUGAAGCCAUUAUUAUGACCCCAGUCGUCUUAGAGAACCACUCAGUAAUCUAGCAAUGCUUUGUAUCCCCAGUGUGAUGAUUCUGGCCAUUACUCUCGAAAGCAUCCCGUGAUGCUACUUAGUAGUAGGUAUUCUACUCAUAGGUUUUUGAGCCCAAAAUUCACCCUACUUACUUCACGUUGAUAGUGUUUGCUAGUUCCUUUAGGAUAUUAGUAACCUUCGUGAUAGUCCUCAAGGUCCAUGGUAAAUCCUUCCUCCAAUACCAUGAACUACUUAUGGCAGAAGUUCCUUAUUGAACCAAAACAUCACAAUAAGAGUGCUCUUGAUGAGUUCUCCAUUCUGCAUUGUGAAUCUGCCAGUCCUACCUUUCUGCAUGGAUUAUCUGGAAGAAAUAUGUUGAACUUGUUGACAUGCUAGUCUAUGCAUCCAUAACUCAGAAAAUCAUAUGUUCUUUGAGUUGUCCCUCUUUAGUUGUUUUCUGACCUUCAUCUAUCAAUUGAUAGUCAAGAGUAUGCGUGCAUUCGUUCAUCGUUGCCUUUACUCUUGCGUUCCAUCAAGCCAUUCUAUUCCGGAAUGACUAGGAGAAACAAACUCCAGCACCUCAUCCAUUUCUUGGACUGGUCAAAGUAGUUGUAUUCCGCAGAUCAAAAUGCCAAUCCAGCUUUUGUUCUGUUCUACCUCGGAGUAUUACCCCCUUUAUGCCAGGAUUGUCAUGAGAAUUGCAGCAUCUCCCAUGAAUUCUUGAUGCAGUGAUACUUCUUUCCAUCAUUUUUCAUUCCUCCGUCCCGUGUUGUCGCAACCGGAAUGCCGACAAGUGAACCAUGAUGUGUGAAAUCAAUACUCCUAGCAACUCUGUUGCUUGGUAGUUAAUGGACGAUAAAUUUCAUUCUUAGCGUAUUGAUUAUUUAAUCAUCACUCUAGGAUUGAUCGUGCUACCUAGUCCAUUUUCCAAGGUGCACUCUUCGAUCAAUGAGUUAGGAUUAUGUCAAACCCUCGCUCUUUUGAUCAUAUCAUCUUGCCCUGGAAAUCAAGAUUGUUCUCGAGCUUAAUAACGUAUCGGUGGUUCGUGAUUUUCCGAUCAUCUUCUCGGAAGUAUCACCAGGUUGUCCCUGACUGUUAUGUUGAGCUCGCGGCCAAGUUGGUUUCUUGUAACCACCCCUUCUCCAAGAAUCUGUGUUGGAUACCCUGAACUGGUUGGUUAAGCUGAACAACAACUUGGAGAGUUGGAAGAUGAAAGCUUGUCCGACCUAGUUCAUCACUAAGGGAUAUCCUUGUGUUUUGUGUUUGUUGAAGAAAGAUGAUAUCUUCAUCGAUUGAUCCUCGUGAUCAAUUGUCGGCGCUAUUGUCUUAUCCAAUCUUUGAUUGUCGCAUGGGCUAUCGUCAAAUCAAAUCAGAACCAACGAUAAUCGUAAUGUUGUCUUACUCGUGGUUGAUCCCUCGAGCAUACACCAUUACAUCUUUUGGUCUGACCAAUACUAUCACAUUGUUCACAUAAUGGUGGAAUUCCAGUGAUAUGGAAAUUCCGAUGAGUUAUUGUUGAGCCCAUCAACAACAUCUUGUCUCCUCCAUGAGUCAUGUUGGACAUUGAGCUAGUGUUGGAAACUUUGUAAGCAUUGUCUUCGUGUCCCGCUCAUGAGGUAUAUGUUUUGGUGAAAGAAGUGACUUUCUCCAAGUUCACGUGCAUUAGGUGUAAGUUGCCACCAUGAAUUGGAGAAAGGUUUGUUUUGUUUCCCCUGGAACCAUCCCAAAUCAGUCAUGCAUACGUGCGAAGUAUCCUAUGGUUUGGUAGAUUAAUUACCUCCACUCCAUACGUAUUCCCUAGCACACCAAACCACUGAUUGAUUUGUUCAAGGAUAGGAAGUUCAAAUGCUAUUCCCGAAGGGCCCAGACGGACUUGCACAAGACUUCGUUAUUCCAAUGAUGGUUCCCAAUCAGAACUCGGUAGUGUUUUAUUAUAAGACUACCACGUGGUCAUGCUUGUCUGGGACAGUGUGUUCACAUGUGUGUAGCAGAACCAGCUCAUGUUUUGGAGCUUACCAUCGUAGUUCAUUUCCCGAGAAUCUCGCAACGUCAUCUCGUCGAUUUGUGUUGCAAACUUUCUUUUCAGACAUGCUGAGUCUGAAGUAUCCUACCACCAAUCGGAUCUGAAUCUCAGGCAGAUAUGAUGGUUGGAACAUUCCCAACAGUUGCAUUUUGUUCCCAGCUUGCACCGCCAUUGUGCCAAAUUCCCAUGGGCUGCCCUUCUCAGCAGUUGUUGUCCAAGAUCAUCUUCAAAAGUGGACUUACCAUGGGUCCCAUCCAUUUCCGAUGAUAAGCAAAAUCAUCCAUUGCGUUGUCUCCAACAAGGUAGUCCACAUCAUCCAUUCUAGUCCGAGUAUGUCAUUCUUUUGAACUCCUUCAACUGAUCGAUUGUGAUUGCCUUAGGUUGGUAUAAAGAGUCUCAAUGAUCUAUGUAUCAAAGUAAUUCUUUUUGCCACUUAAGGGAAUAAUUCUAUGAGUCACCUUCCCUAAUGUGCCCUGUUAUGGAGUCAUGGCGAUUAUUUCCUCGCUAUCUUGAAACCAUGACCAUCUUCUAAGCAUGGAAUUGUUGCCUACUAAUCUGAACCUUCAUCACCUGCUUCUUUCCAUCGCUCCUCAUAUGUGUUUUUGUCCCUCAGCUCAAGAGAUGUUUCUACGUCUCGUUCCAUGAAUUGAUCCUGUGAUCAUUAAGAUGAUCCAUCCCUGUGGAGUUAUCUCGCUUCUGUCCCCGUGUUGGGUGAAGAUCUUGAAAGCAAGGAUGUCAAGUUCAAGAUGAUGCAAUGAAUCAAUAUCUUCGAUGAGGACAGUUGGAUCAUGAAGAUUGUGUUAGUUUGCGUCCCCCCUCAUCUUACCCUACGCUUGAAUCUCGGGACGAGAUUCUUGUUUAGUGGGGGUGAGUUGUCACAACCCUAGUCAGUGCAUGCAUUAGAGUGUUUGCAUCAUGUUUAAAUUUCAGUUAAACUUGAAAUGGGGAUGUUCAAACCCUAGCACCAAAUGGAACUCAACUAGGUUCAAUCCAAAAUCUUUUUCAAAGAACCCAAGAUGCCCUUUGAAAAUGUUCAUGAUUUCUGAUAAAGGUGAAAACCUCUGCCAAAAAUGAUGAAUAUAUUUCUAGGACAUUCUGGAUCUUUGAAUUAACUCAUAUCGUAUUUGAAUUGGAGCAUUUAAAUCCUAUAAAUAUUUUUAAAUGCUCUAAUAAUUCUGAAACUAGUUUUGGGUUGUUGGAAAUAAUCCAAACACUGCCCACAAUUAUUUUCAGGAUUUUACAAAAUGGAUUAGUAUUUUUACUAAUUCAAAACAGAAUAAAAGAAAUAGAAAACUGAAACAAAAGGAAAAGAGAGCUUACCUGUAACUUACCUGGACCUACUGCCUGUGCAGCCCACUUGGCAGCCCAGCCAACUGGCCCAGCCCACCAGAAGCCCCACCGUCUUCAACCUCUGCCAGAAGCCCCACCGUCUUCAACCUCUGCCAGUAGGCAGAGGCGUGUCGGCGCGCGCUCAAGCUCCACCUUUCGCUUCCACCUCCUGCUUCCCCCUCGCGCUGUCUCCGCGCCACAGGAACGACCUCGACCCCCUCUGCUUCUCCCCUCACUCUGGAGCUCUCUUCCUCUCCUCAAGCUCCCUCCCCGCAGCACCACCGAACACGCCGUCGCCGCCGCUUGCUGCUCCUGCGGCCACUGCCACGUCCUCGCCCCUCCGUCGUGUCCACGAGCUCCGCGCCGUCGUCCUCGUCUUCUCCGUCAAGCCGUGCGUCUCCGGAUGCCCUGUGGAGCUGCCAUCGCCGUCGUCUUCACCUCCGGCCGCCCGAGAUCGCCGUCGCCCUUCUGCCCACGUUGGACCUCCACCGAGCUUGCUGACGCCUCCGUCGGAUCCGCUGUGAGCCCCGCCGCCGGUUCCCCCUCUUCGUUUUUUCACUCGCGCGCCGUAGCCAUGCUAACCACCGGACCCGAGUGGUCGCGCCGCCGUGGAUCCCCACCGUCGUAGCCAGAGCCACCGCAGCUCGCGCCCGCACAUGCCAUCGUGCUCAGGAGCCUCCCAGAAGACCAAAGCCGCCGCCUGCAGCUCCCGCCGUGCCCUGCAGCACCCCGCGCACACCUGGUCGUGCUCCGGCCGCCGCCCCGAGCUUGUUCCCGGCGAGCUCAGGCCACCCCCGCCUCUCCCGCUUGCUCCAGACGACGCGGACGAGCCCUGGCUCCUCGCACAUGGCCUCCGCCGCCCAAAUGGUCGCCAGAGCGACGAACCCGACGCGCUCCGCCACGUUCGGCCUCGCCGGCGACUAACCGCCAGUCAAACCGCGCUAAUUAACCCCCCCUCCCGUGACAUUGAAAGGCGGGCCCCACUGCCUAACUAACCAGCUAACAAAAAUAGAUUAAGGUUAAUCUAAUCACAGUGGCCCCACGCGUCGGCGUUGACCUCGCUGACGUGGUCGUUGACCGGACCCACCUGUCUGUGUCACUAAUUGUCACUGGGCCACUGAUUAGUGGACCCCACUGGUUAGGUUUGACCUGUACCGUCGCCUUUGACUGCUGACGUCACCCUGACGCAAUGCUGACGCAAUAAAUCAUUUACUGGAUUUAUUCUUAUUCAGGAAAUUCCAGCAAAUGCCCAAAACUUCUAAAAAUCAUAGAUAUUAAUCUGUAACUCCAAAUGCAAAGAUUUAUAUAUGAAAAAAUGAUCAGAAAAAUCCAAUCUUUCCAUCUGUACUAGUUUCAUGCAUGUUAAAGCAACUUAACCUUGCUGUUUAGUGCAAACAUGAUAAUGCACUAUUUAAAUUCAUAAGUUGAGUUUGGGAUUGAACCUUUGGUUCAAAAUGACUCAAACCCAGCUGGUUGUAGUUGCAUUAGCCCAACACACUCAUUUUGCCAUGUCAUGAUCAUGCAUCAUAUUGUGCAUCGCAUUGAUUGUAUUUCUUCUCUAUUGCCGGUAUUUGUCCCCUCUCGGUAGACGAUGUUCUGACGUUGUUAUCGUUGACACUGAUGAAGACUCAAUGCUAUCUUCAGAAGUGCCAGGCAAGCAAAACCCCCUUGUUCAUUCCGAUACAAUCCCACUCUCCCGCUUCUGCUCUCUUUUACUGCAUUAGGACAACAACGAUUCAACUGUUACAUGCUGCGGUAGUUGAACCCCUUUCCUCUGCAUGACCUGUCAUUGCCACAGUAAAUAGAUGAAACCCACUAGCAUGAGUAGGAGUUGUUUGAGCCCUGAUGUGCCUAAUCAUUCAUGCUUGUUUGUCAUGCCUGCUACUGCUUAGAGUUGAGUCAGGUCUGAUUCAUCGGGGAUGAAUUGGAAUGGUGAUGAACAUGUCCUACUGUGUGUGAGCUAAGUGUGUGAACACGAUUUGGUAAAGGUAGCGGUGAGAGGCCAUGUAGGAGUACAUGGUGGGUUGUCUCAUUGAAACCCUCCUUAGGAACUGAGUUCUGUGUUUGUGAUCCAUGAACAGCUACUACCACACAUUGGGCCCUGAAAUAUGACCCUGCUCGACUUAUUAACCGCCCCUGUCCUCUGUCCAGGAGUUGCAACUAGUUUCCGGUGUUUGUAGGAUAUGUGUUGGAGGCCGUGCGUAGCGCUGACCCUAGGGGUGGGCUAUGAUGCGGUAAAUACAUCGUGGCACGGUGUACCGAGCGCCCGUUUGGUGUCUCGGGAACCCUGCACACAUCGUUUGGGGCUGUGGGCGAAACCAUGGCCGGAUCUCCUCGCGGAUGGAACCCGAAUAGGCGAUAAACCUGAACUAGAGACUUGUGUGGUUAGUAGGUCGUGGUCUACACCCACGUCGGCUUUCGCUUGAAGUCUGCCGAGCACAUGUCGUGUGCAGACGCUAAGUGGUGGAAACAUGUGUGAAGAAGUACACCCCUGCAGGGUUAUAAAUGAUCUAUUCGAAUAGCCGUGUUCGCGUUAAAGGACUUCUAGAUUGCCUGUACAGUUCAUAGAUAACUUGAAGUGGAUACUCUAAAACUCGCAAGAUAAGUGUGAGUGCUAUGGAUGGCGUUCUCGUUAGGAGACGGGAGCGGAUCCAUAGUGGUGUAUUGAUUGGUGAAUAUGUGGACUCGUGUGCGCCACCUCAAAAGAGUUACUUGCAGUCGUAGUUCGGGAUAGCCAGUGAGUCAAAGUUGGCUUGCUGCAGUUAAACUCCACCACCCCCUUUGUUGAUACCGAUGCAUAUGUAGAUAGUUCUGAUGUAAGUCUUGCUGGGUACAUUUGUACUCACGUUUGCCUAUUUUAUGUUUUGCAGAGAGACUUCAGUCUCGCUAGUAGUUCCGCGUGGACUUCGACGUUUAGCUUGUUACCUCAGCUACGAUCUUGUGCCCUCGGCAGGGUCUUGUAGAUAGUCAGGCUUCUCAGCCUUCUUCAUUUGUAGUUGUCUGUACUUAGACAAGUUAAGCUUCCGCAUGUGCUUGUUGCUUGUAUGCUCUAUAUGUUGGGGUCAUGAGACCCAUGUUUGUAAUACUUGGCUCCUCGGAGCCUAAUGAAUAAAUACUCUUAGUCGUAGAGUCUUGUUGUGAUGCCAUGUUGUAUUUGCACAUAUCGAGCAUAUUGUGUGUAUGAUUGAAAUGCUUGGUAUGUGUGGGAUCCGACAAUCUAGUUGUUUAUCCUUGGUAGCCUCUCUUAUGGGGAAAUGUAGUCUGGUGCUUCCACUGAGCCUUGGUAGUCCGCUACAGCCCGGUUUACCGGAGUCCUGCUAGCCCAGCACUACUGCUCCGAAACACCUAGACUGGCCGGCAUGUGAUACACUUCGUUCCUGUGUCUGCCCCUUCGAGGAAAUGUCACGCGGUGACAUCCAGAGUCCUGCUAGCCUGUUACAGCCCGGUUUACUAGAGUCCUGUUAGCCCAGUUGCUACAGCCCGGAUUCACACGCUGAUGACCGACACGUUCGAUGCUGGUUCAUGUAUGCAUGUCCCUGUAAGUUAGCGCCACUUUGGGUUCACGACUAGUCAUGUCGGCCCGGGUUCUCUGUCAUAUGGAUGCUAGCGACACUAUCAUAUACGUGAGCCAAAAGGCGCAAACGGUACUGGGCCAGGUAAGGUGGCACCCGUGGGAAUACCGUGCGUGAGGCCGCAAAGUGAUAUGAUGUGUUACAUGCUAGAUCGGUGUGACUUAGGAUCGGGGUCCUGACAGGAGGCGCCGGAUAUAUUGAGGGAAGCACUUCGACAUGCUUCCAUCGUGGAAGAGCACCGUACCCUAAUGGGUACGGUGGUUGAGAAGGUUCAGUCCACAAAAAGCGGGCUGAACGAAGCUUUUACUAGCCUGCUAACAGGCUUUGAGGUAUGUGAUGUAAUAUUCUUAGUCGCUUUUGCGUGUGUAAAAAAUAUGCCUGUGUAUAGAUAGUAGCCCCUGAGACUCCGUUCGGCUUUUUGAAAAAGGGGGCGGACAGAGGAUCAAAUAUUUCGAAGAUAACAUACUUGUCUAUUUUGAAAAACAGGCUUUACUGCUAGCAACUUCAGCCAAGGAUGCUGAAGUGUCUGAGCUCCAGCAGAAACUGAAGCUGGCUGACGAUGAGAUCGACCGCAUUAACAAGCAGUUCGAUGAUGCCCAAGGUAUGCUUUUUAAAAAGACCCCUAACCAGCCUAAAGUAUAAUGCAAACUCAGAGUUUAAGCUCGUGCGCUGCUAUGUAAAUGAUUGUAGGCAACGCGACCGAGGUCGAGGCCCUCAAGAGUGCCCUUACCAAAGCCAAGGAUUAGGCGAGGGUAAGCAAAGCAUCCGCAGAGAAAGCGGCUGCGGAUGUGGAGGCCGAAAAGGACGCCCACCUUCAGUAUGAGGCGAGGGUGACCGAAGCAGAGCAAGCGCUCCAGGAGGCCGCCAACAAGUGUGAGUCCUUGGAGGAGAGGAACAAGGCCCAAGCGGCCGAACUCACCAAGGCUCUUCAAGCUGCGAAGGAGGCGCGGUCCGAGUCCCGGGUUGCUCGCGAGGAGAUCAAGCAAGCCAAACAGAUAGCGGCUCGUAAGCCUUUUCUUUUACAAAGUAUAUUCGGCGGUCAAAGAUAUGCUUUGCUAAAUCGAUUGUGGAGUGCUCCAGACGCUUUUGCGGAACUCCCGAGGAGUGCUGCCGACGCCGCCCAGUAUUUCCGGGCCCAAGAAGGGAACGUGACGGAGAAGCUCUUCUGGUUGCAGUACUUGGCGCCGGAGCGACUAGCGCUGCUGAACAAUCAGAUGAUGCAGCUGUCGGAGCUGCAUAGGAUGUCCGGUUUGGCCAUGAAGGACAUCAUAGUCCGGCUAUGGCCAGCCGGACCCAUUCCGAGCAGCUACUUCAGCCUGGUCAAGCGGCUUGGCGAUGCCUUGCCCCGAGUAGAGGUAGUGAAGCGCUCGGCAUGCAUAGAAGGUGCGCGGAUGGCCUUUGCCUGUGUCAAGUGAAGGAAAUAUGCCCUAGAGGCAAUAAUAAAGUUAUUAUUUAUUUCCUUAUAUCAUGAUAAAUGUUUAUUAUUCAUGCUAGAAUUGUAUUAACCGGAAACAUAAUACUUGUGUGAAUACAUAGACAAACAGAGUGUCACUAGUAUGCCUCUACUUGACUAGCUCGUUGAUCAAAGAUGGUUAUGUUUCCUAGCCAUAGACAUGGGUUGUCAUUUGAUUAACGGGAUCACAUCAUUAGGAGAAUGAUGUGAUUGACUUGACCCAUUCCGUUAGCUUAGCACUCGAUCGUUUAGUAUGUUGCUAUUGCUUUCUUCAUGACUUAUACAUGUUCCUAUGACUAUGAGAUUAUGCAACUCCCGUUUGCCGGAGGAACACUUUGUGUGCUACCAAACGUCACAACGUAACUGGGUGAUUAUAAAGGUGCUCUACAGGUGUCUCCGAAGGUACUUGUUGGGUUGGCGUAUUUUGAGAUUAGGAAUUGUCACUCCGAUUGUCGGAGAGGUAUCUCUGGGCCCACUCGGUAAUGCACAUCACUUAAGCCUUGCAAGCAUUGCAACUAAUGAGUUAGUUGUGAGAUGAUGUAUUACGGAACGAGUAAAGAGACUUGCCGGUAACGAGAUUGAACUAGGUAUUGAGAUACCGACGACCGAAUCUCGGGCAAGUAACAUACCGAUGACAAAAGGAACAAACGUAUGUUGUUAUGCGGUCUGACCGAUAAAGAUCUUCGUAGAAUAUGUGGGAGCCAAUAUGAGCAUCCAGGUUCCGCUAUUGGUUAUUGACCGGAGACGUGUCUCGGUCAUGUCUACAUAGUUCUCGAACCCGUAGGGUCCGCACGCUUAACGUUACGAUGACAGUUAUAUUAUGAGUUUACAUGUUUUCAUGUACCGAAGGUUGUUAGGAGUCCCGGAUGUGAUCAUGGACAUGACGAGGAGUCUCGAAAUGGUCGAGACAUGAAGAUUGAUAUAUUGGACGACUAUAUUCGGACACCGGAGUGGUUCCGGGGGUUAUCGGAUAUAUACCAGAGUACCAGGGGGUUACCGGAACCCCCCGGAGGUUAAUGGGCCUCAUGGGCCCAAGUGGUGGAAGAGGAGAGGAGGCCAAGGGGCAGCCGCGCGCCCCUCCCCCCAAGUCCGAAUUGGACAAGGAGGGGGGCGGCGCCCCCCCUUUCCUUUCCCCCUCUCUCUCCUUCCCUCUGCUCUCCUACUCCAACAAGGAAGGGAGGGAGUCCUACUCCUGGUAGGAGUAGGACUCCUCCUGGCGCGCCUCCUCCUGGCCGGCCGCACCUCCCCCCUUGCUCCUUUAUAUACGGGGGCAGGGGGCACCCUAGAGACACAACAAUUGAUCGUUUGAUCUUUUAGCCGUGUGCGGUGCCCCCCUCCACCAUAGUCCACCUCGAUAAUACUGUAGCGGUGCUUAGGCGAAGCCCUACGUUGGUAGAACAUCAUCAUCGUCACCACGCCGUCGUGCUGACGAAACUCUCCCUCAACACUCGGCUGGAUCGGAGUUCGAGGGACGUCAUCGGGCUGAACGUGUGCUGAACUCGGAGGUGCCGUGCGUUCGGUACUUGAUCGGUCGGAUCGUGAAGACGUACGACUACAUCAACCGCGUUGUGCUAACGCUUCCGCUUUCGGUCUACGAGGGUACGUGGACAACACUCUCCCCUCUCGUUGCUAUGCAUCACCAUGAUCUUGCGUGUGCGUAGGAAUUUUUUUGAAAUUACUACAUUUCCAAAAAGUGGUAUCAGAGCCUGGUUUUUAUGCGUAGAUGUCAUAUGCACGAGUAGAACACAAGUGAGUUGUGGGCGAUAUAAGUCAUACUGCUUGCCAGCAUGUCAUACUUUGGUUCGGCGGUAUUGUUGGAUGAAGCGGCCCGGACCGACAUUACGCGUACGCUUACGCGAGACUGGUUCUACCGACGUGCUUUGCACACAGGUGGCUGGCGGGUGUCAGUUUCUCCAACUUUAGUUGAACCGAGUGUGGCUACGCCCGGUCCUUGCGGAGGUUAAAACAGCACCAACUUGACAAACUAUCGUUGUGGUUUUGAUGCGUAGGUAAGAACGGUUCUUGCUAAGCCUAGUAGCAGCCACGUAAAACUUGCAACAACAAAGUAGAGGACGUCUAACUUGGUUUUGCAGGGCAUGUUGUGAUGUGAUAUGGUCAAGACAUGAUGCUGAAUUUUAUUGUAUGAGAUGAUCAUGUUUUGUAACCGAGUUAUCGGCAACGGGCAGGAGCCAUAUGGUUGUCGCUUUAUUGUAUGCAAUGCAAUCGCCCUGUAAUGAUUUACUUUAUCACUAAGCGGUAGCGAUAGUCAUAGAAGCAUAAGAUUGGCGAGACGACAACGAUGCUACGAUGGAGAUCAAGGUGUCGCGUCGGUGAUGAUGGUGAUCAUGACGGUGCUUCGGAGAUGGAGAUCACAAGCACAAGAUGAUGAUGGCCAUAUCAUAUCACUUAUAUUGAUUGCAUGUGAUGUUUAUCUUUUAUGCAUCUUACCUUGCUUUGAUUGACGGUAGCAUUAUAAGAUGAUCUCUCACUAAAUUAUCAAAGUAUAAGUGUUCUCCCUGAGUAUGCACCGUUGCGAAAGUUCUUCGUGCUGAGACACCACAUGAUGAUCGGGUGUGAUAGGCUCUACGUUCAAAUACAACGGGUGCAAAACAGUUGCACACGCGGAAUACUCAGGUUAAACUUGACGAGCCUAGCAUAUAACAGAUAUGGCCUCGGAACACGGAGACCGAAAGGUCGAGCGUGAAUCAUAUAGUAGAUAUGAUCAACAUAGUGAUGUUCACCAUUGAAACUACUCCAUCUCACGUGAUGAUCGGACAUGGUUUAGUUGAUUUGGGUCACGUGAUCACUUAGAGGAUUAGAGAGAUGUCUAUCUAAGUGGGAGUUCUUAAGUAAUAUGAUUAAUUGAACUUAAAUUUAUCAUGAACUUAGUACCUGAUAGUAUCUUGCUUGUCUAUGUUGUUUGUAGAUAGAUGGCCUGUGCUGUUGUUCUGUUGAAUUUUAAUGCGUUCCUUGAGAAAGCAAAGUUGAAAGAUGAUGGUAGCAAUUACACGGACUAGGUCCGUAACUUGAGGAUUAUCCUCAUUGCUGCACAGAAGAAUUACGUCCUGGAAGCACCGCUAGGUGCCAAACCUGCUGCAGGAGCAACAGCAGAUGUUAUGAACGUCUGGCAGAGCAAAGCUGAUGACUACUCGAUAGUUCAGUGUGCCAUGCUUUACGGCUUAGAACCGGGACUUCAAUGACGUUUUGAACGUCAUGGAGCAUAUGAGAUGUUCCAGGAGUUGAAGUUAAUAUUUCAAGCAAAUGCCCGGAUUGAGAGAUAUGAAGUCUCCAAUAAGUUCUACAGCUGCAAGAUGGAGGAGAAUAGUUCUGUCAGUGAGCAUAUACUCAAAAUGUCUGGGUAUAAUAAUCACUUGAUUCAACUGGGAUUUAAUCUUCCGGGUGAUAGCGUCAUUGACAGAAUUCUUCAAUCACUGCCACCAAGCUACAAGAGCUUCGUGAUGAACUAUAAUAUGCAAGGGAUGGAUAAGACGAUUCCCGAGCUCUUCACAAUGCUAAAGGCUGCGGAGGUAGAAAUCAAGAAGGAGCAUCAAGUGUUGAUGGUCAAUAAGACCACCAGUUUCAAGAAAAAGGGCAAAGGGAAGAAGAAGGGGAACUUCAAGAAGAACAGCAAGCAAGUUGCUUCUCAGGAGAAGAAACCCAAGUCUGGACCUAAGCCUGAGACUGAGUGCUUCUACUGCAAGCAAACUGGUCACUGGAAGCGGAACUGCCCCAAGUAUUUGGCGGAUAAGAAGGAUGGCAAGGUGAACAAAGGUAUAUGUGAUAUACAUGUUAUUGAUGUGUACCUUACUAAUGCUCGCAGUAGCACCUGGGUAUUUGAUACUGGUUCUGUUGCUAAUAUUUGCAACUCGAAACAGGGGCUACGGAUUAAGCGAAGAUUGGCUAAGGACGAGGUGACGAUGCGCGUGGGAAAUGGUUCCAAAGUCGAUGUGAUCGCGGUCGGCACGCUACCUCUACAUCUACCUUCGGGAUUAGUUUUAGACCUAAAUAAUUGUUAUUUGGUGCCAGCGUUGAGCAUGAACAUUAUAUCUGGAUCUUGUUUGAUGCGAGACGGUUAUUCAUUUAAAUCAGAGAAUAAUGGUUGUUCUAUUUAUAUGAGUAAUAUCUUUUAUGGUCAUGCACCCUUGAAGAGUGGUCUAUUUUUGUUGAAUCUCGAUAGUAGUGAUACACAUAUUCAUAAUAUUGAAGCCAAAAGAUGUAGAGUUGAUAAUGAUAGUGCAACUUAUUUGUGGCACUGCCGUUUAGGUCAUAUCGGUGUAAAGCGCAUGAAGAAACUCCAUACUGAUGGACUUUUGGAACCACUUGAUUAUGAAUCACUUGGUACUUGCGAACCGUGCCUCAUGGGCAAGAUGACUAAAACGCCGUUCUCCGGUACUAUGGAGAGAGCAACAGAUUUGUUGGAAAUCAUACAUACAGAUGUAUGUGGUCCGAUGAAUGUUGAGGCUCGUGGCGGAUAUCGUUAUUUUCUCACCUUCACAGAUGAUUUGAGCAGAUAUGGGUAUAUCUACUUAAUGAAACAUAAGUCUGAAACAUUUGAAAAGUUCAAAGAAUUUCAGAGUGAAGUUGAAAAUCAUCGUAACAAGAAAAUAAAGUUUCUGCGAUCUGAUCGUGGACGAGAAUAUUUGAGUUACGAGUUUGGUCUAUAUUUAAAACAAUGCGGAAUAGUUUCGCAACUCACGUCACCCGGAACACCACAGCAUAAUGGUGUGUCCGAACGUCGUAAUCGUACUUUACUAUAUAUGGUGCGAUCUAUGAUGUCUCUUACUGAUUUACCGCUAUCGUUUUGGGGUUAUGCUUUAGAGACGGCUGCAUUCACGUUAAAUAGGGCACCAUCGAAAUCCGUUGAGACGACGCCUUAUGAACUAUGGUUUGGCAAGAAACCAAAGUUGUCAUUUCUUAAAGUUUGGGGCUGCGAUGCUUAUGUGAAAAAGCUUCAACCUGAUAAGCUCGAACCCAAAUCGGAGAAAUGUGUCUUCAUAGGAUACCCAAAAGAGACUAUUGGGUACACCUUCUAUCACAGAUCCGAAGGCAAGACUUUUGUUGCUAAAUUUGGAUCCUUUCUAGAGAAGGAGUUUCUCUCGAAAGAAGUGAGUGGGAGGAAAGUAGAACUUGAUGAGGUAACUGUACCUGCUCCCUUAUUGGAAAGUAGUUCAUCAUAGAAACCGGUUCCUGUGACGUCUACACCAACUAGUGAGGAAGUUAAUGAUGAUGAUCAUGAAACUUCAGAUCAAGUUGUUACUGAACCUCGUAGGUCAACCAGAGUAAGAUCCGCACCAGAGUGGUACGGUAAUCCUGUUCUGGAAGUUAUGUUACUAGACCAUGACGAACCUACGAACUAUGAAGAAGCGAUGGUGAGCCCAGAUUCCGCAAAAUGGCUUGAGGCCAUGAAAUCUGAGAUGGGAUCCAUGUAUGAGAACAAAGUGUGGACUUUGGUUGACUUGCCCGAUGAUCGGCAAGCCAUUGAGAAUAAAUGGAUCUUCAAGAAGAAGACUGAAGCUGACGGUAAUGUUACUGUCUAUAAAGCUCGACUUGUUGCAAAAGGUUUUCGACAAGUUCAUGGGAUUGACUACGAUGAGACUUUCUCACCCAUAGCGAUGCUUAAGUCUGUCUGAAUCAUGUUAGCAAUUGCCGCAUUUUAUGAUUAUGAAAUUUGGCAAAUGGAUGUCAAAACUGCAUUCCUGAAUGGAUUUCUGGAAGAAGAGUUGUAUAUGAUGCAGCCAGAAGGUUUUGUCGAUCCAAAGGGAGCUAACAAAGUGUGCAAGCUCCAGCGAUCCAUUUAUGGACUGGUGCAAGCAUCUCGGAGUUGGAAUAAACGCUUUGAUAGUGUGAUCAAAGCAUUUGGUUUUAUACAGACUUUUGGAGAAGCCUGUAUUUACAAGAAAGUGAGUGGGAGCUCUGUAGCAUUUCUGAUAUUAUAUGUGGAUGACAUAUUAUUGAUUGGAAAUGAUAUAGAAUUUCUGGAUAGCAUAAAGGGAUACUUGAAUAAGAGUUUUUCAAUGAAGGACCUCGGUGAAGUUGCUUAUAUAUUGGGCAUCAAGAUCUAUAGAGAUAGAUCAAGACGCUUAAUUGGACUUUCACAAAGCACAUACCUUGACAAAGUUUUGAAGAAGUUCAAAAUGGAUCAAGCAAAGAAAGGGUUCUUGCCUGUGUUACAAGGUGUGAAGUUGAGUAAGACUCAAUGCCCGACCAGUGCAGAAGAUAGAGAGAAGAUGAAAGAAGUUCCCUAUGCUUCAGCCAUAGGCUCUAUCAUGUAUGCAAUGCUGCGUACCAGACCUGAUGUGUGCCUUGCUAUAAGUCUAGCAGGGAGGUACCAAAGUAAUCCAGGAGUGGAUCACUGGACAGCGGUCAAGAACAUCCUGAAAUACCUGAAAAGGAUGAAGGGUAUGUUUCUCAUUUAUGGAGGUGACAAAGAGCUCAUUGUAAAUGGUUACGUUGAUGCAAGCUUUGACACUGAUCCGGACGAUUCUAAAUCGCAAACCGGAUACAUGUUUACAUUGAACGGUGGAGCUGUCAGUUGGUGCAGUUCUAAACAAAGCGUCAUGGCGGGAUCUACGUGUGAAGCGGAGUACAUAGCUGCUUCGGAAGCAGCAAAUGAAGGAGUCUGGAUGAAGGAGUUCAUAUCCGAUCUAGGUGUCAUACCUAGUGCAUCGGGUCCAAUGAAAAUCUUUUGUGACAAUACUGGAGCAAUUGCCUUGGCGAAGGAAUCCAGAUUUCACAAGAGAACCAAGCACAUCAAGAGACGCUUCAAUUCCAUCCGGGAUCUAGUCCAGGUGGGAGACAUAGAAAUUUGCAAGAUACAUACGGAUCUGAAUGUUGCAGACCCGUUGACUAAGCCUAUUCCACGAGCAAAACAUGAUCAGCACCAAGACUCCAUGGGUGUUAGAAUCAUUACUGUGUAAUCUAGAUUAUUGACUCUAGUGCAAGUGGGAGACUGAAGGAAAUAUGCCCUAGAGGCAAUAAUAAAGUUAUUAUUUAUUUCCUUAUAUCAUGAUAAAUGUUUAUUAUUCAUGCUAGAAUUGUAUUAACUAGAAACAUAAUACUUGUGUGAAUACAUAGACAAACAGAGUGUCACUAGUAUGCCUCUACUUGACUAGCUCGUUGAUCAAAGAUGGUUAUGUUUCCUAGCCAUAGACAUGGGUUGUCAUUUGAUUAACGGGAUCACAUCAUUAGGAGAAUGAUGUGAUUGACUUGACCCAUUCCGUUAGCUUAGCACUCGAUCAUUUAGUAUGUUGCUAUUGCUUUCUUCAUGACUUAUACAUGUUCCUAUGACUAUGAGAUUAUGCAACUCCCGUUUACCGGAGGAACACUUUGUGUGCUACCAAACGUCACAACGUAACUGGGUGAUUAUAAAGGUGCUCUACAGGUGUCUCCUAAGGUACUUGUUGGGUUGGCGUAUUUCGAGAUUAGGAUUUGUCACUCCGAUUGUCGGAGAGGUAUCUCUGGGCCCACUCGGUAAUGCACAUCACUUAAGCCUUGCAAGCAUUGCAACUAAUGAGUUAGUUGUGAGAUGAUGUAUUACAGAACGAGUAAAGAGACUUGCCGGUAACGAGAUUGAACUAGGUAUUGAGAUACCGACGAUCGAAUCUCGGGCAAGUAACAUACCGAUGACAAAGGGAACAAACGUAUGUUGUUAUGCGGUCUGACCGAUAAAGAUCUUAGUAGAAUAUGUGGGAGCCAAUAUGAGCAUCCAGGUUCCGCUAUUGGUUAUUGACCGGAGACGUGUCUCAGUCAUGUCUACAUAGUUCUCGAACCCGUAGGGUCCGCACGCUUAACGUUACGAUGACAGUUAUAUUAUGAGUUUACAUGUUUUGAUGUAGCGAAGGUUGUUAGGAGUCCCGGAUGUGAUCACGGACAUGACGAGGAGUCUCGAAAUGGUCGAGACAUGAAGAUUGAUAUAUUGGACGACUAUAUUCGGACACCGGAAUGGUUCCGGGGGUUAUCGGAUAUAUACCGGAGUACCAGGGGGUUACCGGAACCCCCCCGGAGGUUAAUGGGCCUCAUGGGCCCAAGUGGUGGAAGAGGAGAGGAGGCCAAGGGGCAGCCGCGCCCCCCCCCAAGUCCGAAUUGGACAAGGGGGGGCGGCGCCCCCCCUUUCCUUUCCCCCUCUCUCUCCUUCCCUCUCCUCUCCUACUCCAACAAGGAAGGGAGGGAGUCCUACUCCCGGUGGGAGUAGGACUCCUCCUGGCGCACCUCCCCCCUUGCUCCUUUAUAUACGGGGGCAGGGGGCACCCUAGAGACACAACAAUUGAUCGUUUGAUCUUUUAGCCGUGUGCGGUGCCCCCCUCCACCAUAGUCCACCUCGAUAAUACUGUAGCGGUGCUUAGGCGAAGCCCUGCAUCGGUAGAACAUCAUCAUCGUCACCACGCCAUCAUGCUGACGAAACUCUCCCUCAACACUCGGCUGGAUCGGAGUUCGAGGGACAUCAUCGGGCUGAACGUGUGCUGAACUCGGAGGUGCCAUGCGUUCGGUACUUGAUCGGUCGGAUCGUGAAGACGUACGACUACAUCAACCGCGUUGUGCUAACGCUUCCGCUUUCGGUCUACGAGGGUACGUGGACAACACUCUCCCCUCUCAUUGCUAUGCAUCACCAUGAUCUUGCGUGUGCGUAGGAAUUUUUUUGAAAUUACUACGUUUCCCAACAUCAAGAUGCACUGGGCGAAGAUGAAGGCCGCCACCACGGCGGUUGAGGGUCCACCCGGAGGCAAGGACCACUGAUGACCCACAAGUGUAGGGGAUCUAUCGUAGUCCUUUCGAUAAGUAAGAGUGUCGAACCCAACGAGGAUCAGAAGGAAAUGAUAAGCGGUUUUCAGUAAGGUUUUCUCUGCAAGCACUGAAAUUGUAGUAAUAGAUAGUUUUGAGAUAAGAUAAAUUGUAACGAGCAACAAGCAAUGAAAGUAAAUAAAGUGCAGCAAGGUGGCCCAAUCCUUUAUGUAGCAAAGGAUAAGCCUGGACAAUUUCUAAUAAUGAGAAAGGAGCUCCCGAGGACACAUGGGAAUUAUCGUCAAGCUAGUUUUCAUCACGUUCAUAUGAUUCACGUUCGGUACUUUGAUAAUUUGGUAUGUGGGUGGACCGGUGCUUGGGUACUGCCCUUACUUGGGCAAGCAUCCCACUUAUGAUUAACCCCUAUUGCAAGCGUCCGCAACUACAAAAGAAGUAUUAAGGUAAACCUAACCACAACAUUAAACGUAUGGAUCCAAAUCAGCCCCUAACGAAGCAACGCAUAAACUAGGGUUUAAGCUUCUGUCACUCUAGCAACCCAUCAUCUACUUAUUACUUCCCAAUGCCUUCCUCUAGGCCCAAGUAAUGGUGAAGUGUCAUGUAGUCGACGUUCACAUAACACCACUAGAGGAAAAGACAACAUACAUCUCAUCAAAAUAUCGAACGAAUACCAAAUUCACAUGACUACUAAUAGCAAGACUUCACCCAUGUCCUCAGGAACAAACGUAACUACUCACAAAGCAUAUUCAUGUUCAUGAUCAGAGGAGUAUUAAUAUGCAUUAAGGAUCUGAACAUAUGAUCUUCCACCAAAUAAACCAACUAGCAUCAACUACAAGGAGUAAUCAACACUACUAGCAACACACAGGUACCAAUUUGUGGUUUUGAUACAAGAUUGGAUACAAGAGAUGAACUAGGGUUUUGAGAGGAGAUGGUGCUGGUGAAGAUGUUGAUGGAGAUUGACCCCCUCCCGAUGAGAGGAUUGUUGGUGAUGACGAUGGUGAUGAUUUCCCCCUCCCGGAGGGAAGUUUCCCCGACAAAACAGCUUUGCCGAAGCUCUAGAUUGGUUCCGCCAAGGUUCCGCCUCGUGGCGGCGGAGUUUCGUCCCGUAAGCUUGCCCACGAUUUUUUCCAGGGUAAAAGCCUUCAUAUAGCAGAAGAUGGACACCAGGGGGCCCAGGAGACAGGGGCGCGCCCAGUAGGGGAGGGCGCGCCCCACCCUCCUGGCCAGGGUGUGGGCCCCCUGAGGUAUUUCUUCCGCUCAAUAAUUCUUAUAAAUUCCAAAAAUAAGUUUCGUGGAGUUUCAGAACUUUUGGAGCUGUGCAGAAUAGGUUUCCAAUAUUUGCACCUUUUCCAACCAGAAUUCCAGCUGUCGGCAUUCCCCCUGUUCAUGGUAAACCUUGUAAAAUAAGAGAGAAUAGCCAUAAGUAUUGAGAUAUAAUGUGUAAUAACAGCCCAUAAUGCAAUAAAUAUUGAUAUAAAAGCAUGAUGCAAAAUGGACGUGUCAACUCCCCCAAGCAUAGACCUCGCUUGUCCUCAAGCGGAAGCCGAAAUCGAAAAAUAUGUCCACAUGUUCAGAGAUAGAGGUGUCGAUAAAAAUAAAAUACAGACAUGAGGGCAUCAUGAUCAUUCUUAUAACAGCAACAUAUAUAGAUUUUAUCAUAUGAUUUCUUAUGCUCAAGUAACAAUCAAUUCACAAUGUCAAGUAUGGUUUAAAAACUUCAUUGAGAACUAACAAACUAUAAUCUCAGUCAUUGAAGCAAUUGCAAUUUAUCAUAACAUCAGAAAGAGUCAUCAAUAGAGCUUUUCAGCAAGUUCACAUACUCAACUAUCUUGUAGUCUUCUACAAUUGCUAACACUCACGCAAUACUUGUGGUUAUGGAGUUUCAGCCGGACACUGAGAAAGAUAGGGGCUUAUUGUGUUGCCUCCCAACGUAUUCACCUUUAGGUGAUGUCAACAAUAAUAGCCCGUGCUAACUUACAUUCAAUUGGAUAUAUAUAUCAUGAUCUUUCAAACACAAGGAGCUUGCCAAAGGAUAAAAUGAAAAAGGGAAAGGUGAAGAUCACCUUGACUUAAGCAUAAAGUAAAAUCAUAAAGUAAAAGAUAGGCCCUUCGCAGAGGGAAGCAGAGGUUGUCAUGUGCAUAUAGGGUUGGAUGCACAAAAUCUUAAUGCAAAAGAACGUCACUUUAUAUUGCCCCUUCUAUGUGGACCUUUAUUAUGUAGUCCGUCGCUUUUAUUACUUCCACAACAAGUUCGUACAAAGCUUAUUUUCUCUGCACUAAUAAGUCAUACAUAAUUAGAUAGCAAUUUUUAUUGCCUGCAACAUGACAACUUACUUGAAGGAUCUUACUCAAUCCAUAGGUAGGUAUGGUGGACUCUCAUGGCAAAAACUGGGUUUAAGGAUAUUUGGAAGCACAAGUAGUAUCUCUACUUGGUGCAAGGAAUUUGGCUAGCAUGAGGGGGAAAGGCAAGCUCAACAUGUUUGGAAGGUCAAUGACAAUAUACUUUAACUGAGAUGUGAGAAAACAUAAACCAUUACGUUGUCUUCCUUGUCCAACGUCGACUCUUUUAGCAUGUCAUACUUAAUGAGUGCUCCCAAUCAUGAAAGGUGUCCAAGAUAAUAUAUUUAUAUGUGAACCUCUCUUUCCUUAUCACUUCCUAUUAAUUGCAACGAUGACCAAAACUACAUUUAUCAACUCUCAACAAUUUUUAUGCCUCAUACUUUCUAUGUGUGAAGUCAUUACUAUCCACAAGAUCAAUAUGAACUCUUUUAUUCUUUCUACUUCCCCAAGAUCAUAGCAAGAUAGCAAAUCCCUUGACUCAACACUAAUCUUUAUUAUAGAUAGCUCACAGACUCAAUUACAUAAAGAGAUCACAAAGCAAAACUCAAAACUAAUUGAUAUUAAAAACUUCAAUCUACUAGAUCAAGAUACUACUAAAAGGAUCGAACUAAAUAAAACGGCAAAGAUAGGAGUGUGAUGGUGAUACGAUACCGGGGCACCUUCCCCAAGCUUGGCAGUUGCCAAGGGGAGUGCCCAUACCCAUGUGAUUAUGUCUCCUUCUUCAGGGUUGGUGUUGUAGGCUUCUUUGCUCUAUCAGGUAGGCUUGACUUUUUAAACUCCACAUGCAUGUCCCCAGGUUGAGGUAAUGGGGCUUCGUCUUCGUCUGAACUAGUUUCCUCCUUUCCCUUAGGCUCAUAGGCCUCCUCUUCUUCAGUGGUCCAACCGCCAUGUUCCAAGUCCCCGUAGACCUUAGGGUCUGCAAGGAAAUCAGCCACAUAGCUUUCUCCCUCCGAGUCCUGGGAUGACAUAUUGCUCCGGGCCUGUAACAGAAACAGCUCGAAACGAAAACAGAGGAUAUUUGCGUGAUACGGUGGUCAAAACCUUCGGGAGUAUAUAUAAUAAAUUUUUACCGACCAAAAUACGUAACGUGCAAGAAAACAGAGUCCGGGAGGCACACGAGGUGUCCACGAGACAGGGGGGCGCGCCCAGUAAGGGAGGGCGCGCCCUCCACUCUCGUGGGGACCUCGUGCCCCUUUCGGACUACUUCUUUCUUCCUAAAAUUCUUAAAUAUUCCAAAACAGAUAAAGAUUGCCAUUGGAGUUGUUUUGGAGUCGAUUUACUUACCAUACCACAUACCUAUUCCUUUUCGGGGUCUGGAACAUUCUGGAAAGUGUCCCUUAUGUAUUCCUCCGGGGUUACGGUUUCAAUAAUAUUAGUUUUAACAUUGAUAGGAUUACCUGAAAUAUAAUGUUUAAUUCUUUGACCGUUCACCACCCUCGGACUUGUGCCUUCGAAGUUGUUGAUUUUUAUGGCACCAGAACGAUAGACCUCCUCGAUAACAUAAGGACCUUCCCAUUUAGAGAGAAGUUUUCCUGCAAAAAAUCUUAAACGAGAGUUGAAUAGCAACACAUAAUCACCUAUGUUAAACUCACGCUUUUGUAUCCUUUUGUCAUGCCAGCGUUUGACUUUUUCUUUGAAUAGCUUGGCAUUCUCAUAGGCUUGGGUUCUCCAUUCAUCAAGUGAGCUAAUAUCAAACAACCUCUUUUCACCGGCAAGUUUGAAGUCAUAGUUGAGCUCUUUAAUAGCCCAAUAUGCUUUAUGUUCAAGUUCUAGAGGUAAAUGACAAGCUUUUCCAUAAACCAUCUUAUAGGGAGACAUACCCAUAGGAUUUUGUAUGCAGUUCUAUAGGCCCAUAAUGCAUCAUCAAGUUUCUUAGACCAAUUCUUUCUAGAUCUAUUGACAGUCUUUUGCAAAAUUAAUUUGAGUUCUCUAUUGCUCAACUCUACUUGACCACUAGACUGCGGAUGAUAAGGAGAUGCGAUUCUAUGAUUAACAUCAUACUUAGCAAGCAUUUUGUGAAAAGCACCAUGAAUAAAAUGUGAACCACCAUCAGUCAUAAGAUAUCUAGGGACUCCAAACCUCGGAAAAAUAACUUCUUUAAGCAUUUUAAUAGAAGUGUUAUGAUCAACACUACUAGUUGGAAUAGCUUCUACCCACUUAGUAACGUAAUCAACAGCAACUAAGAUAUGUGUAUAACCAUUAGAGGCAGGAAAGGUCCCAUAUAAUCAAAGCCCCAAACAUCAAAUGGUUCAAUAACAAGAGAAUAAUUCAUAGGCAUUUCUUGACGUCUACUAAUGUUACCUAUUCUUUGACAUUCAUCACAAGAUAAGACAAACUUACGAGCAUCUUUGAAGAGAGUAGGCCAAUAAAAGCCAGAUUGCAGUACCUUGUGUGCAGUUCUAUCUCCAGCGUGGUGUCCUCCAUAGGAUUCAGAGUGACACUUGCAUAGGAUCUGUUCCUGUUCAUGCUCAGGUACACAACGUCUAAUAACACCAUCUACUCCUUCUUUAUAAAGGUGUGGGUCAUCCCAAAAGUAAUGUCUUAAAUCAUAAAAGAACUUUUUCUUUUGCUGGUAUGUGAAACUAGGCGGUAUAAAUUUAGCAACAAUGUAAUUAGCAUAAUCAGCAUACCAAGGAGCAGUACGAGAAGCAUUAAUGACCGCUAAUUGUUCAUCAGGAAAGCUAUCAUCAAUAGGUAGUGGGUCAUCAAGAACAUUGUCUAACCUAGACAAGUUGUCUGCAACGGGGUUCUUAGCUCCCUUUCUAUCAAUAAUAAGUAAAUCAAAUUCUUGGAGCAAGAGAACCCAUCUAAUGAGUCUAGGCUUAGCAUCUUUCUUUUCCAUAAGAUAUUUAAUAGCAGCAUGAUCAGUGUGGAUAGUGACUUUGGAAUCAACUAUAUAAGGUCUAAACUUAUCACAUGCAAACACGACUGCUAAGAAUUCUUUUUCAGUAGUAGCAUAAUUUCUCUGGGCAGUAUCAAGAGUCUUACUAGCAUACUGGAUAACAUUCAAUUUCUUAUCAACUCUUUGCCCUAGAACAGCACCUACAGCAUAAUCACUAGCGUCACACAUAAUUUCAAAAGGUAAAUUCCAAUCAGGUGGCUGAACAAUAGGUGCAGUGAUCAAAGCUUUCUUAAGUAUUUCAAAUGCUUCUACACAAUCGUCAUCAAAGACAAAAGGAAUAUCUUUUUGCAAUAAAUUAGUCAGAGGCCUAGAGAUUUUAGAAAAGUCCUUAAUGAACCUCCUAUAAAAACCGGCAUGACCAAGGAAACUUCUUAUACCUUUUAUGUCCUUGGGACAUGGCAUCUUUUCAAUCGCAUCAACUUUGGCUUUGUCAACUUCAAUACCUCUCUCGGAGAUCUUGUGCCCCAAGACAAUGCCUUCAUUAACCAUAAAGUGGCACUUUUCCCAAUUCAGGACAAGACUAGUGUCUUCGCAUCUCUGCAAAACUCGAUCAAGGUUGCUCAAGCAAUCAUCAAAAGAGGAUCCAUAAACGGAGAAAUCAUCCAUGAAUACCUCACAAAUCUUUUCACAAAAGUCAGAGAAUAUAGCCAUCAUACAUCUUUGAAAGGUAGCAGGUGCAUUACAUAAACCAAAAGGCAUACGUCUAUAAGCAAAAGUACCGAAAGGGCAAGUAAAAGUAGUUUUUGAUUGAUCCCCUGCUGACACAGGUAUCUGAGAGAAACCAGAAUAGCCAUCUAGAAAGCAAAAAUGUGUGUGUUUGGAUAGUCUUUCUAGCAUUUGAUCAAUAAAAGGUAAAGGGUAAUGAUCUUUCUUAGUAGCCUUAUUUAGUUUACGGAAAUCAAUUACCAUCCUAUAACCUGUAAUAAUUCUUUGCAGGAUCAAUUCAUCUUUAUCGUUAGGAACGAUAGUAAUACCUCCCUUUUUAGGAACACAAUGGACAGGGCUUACCCAAUCGCUAUCAGCAACGGGGUAGAUUAUACCUGCCUCAAGGAGCUUUAGUAUCUCCUUUCUUACCACUUCUUUCAUCUUGGGAUUCAGUCAUCGUUGAGGAUCUCUAACUGGUUUAGCAUCGGCCUCCAAAUUAAUUUUGUGUUGACAUAACGUGGGACUAAUGCCCUUGAGAUCAUCCAGAGUAUAUCCAAUAGCAGCACGGUGCUUCUUCAGAGUUUUCAAUAAUUUUUCUUCUUCUUGCUCUGAAAGGUUAGCACUAAAUAAUAACAGGAUAUAUUUUCUUUUCAUCGAGAUAAGCAUACUUAAGAUUAUCAGGUAAUGGUUUGAGUUCAAACACGGGAUCACCCUUGGGUGGAGGGGGAUCCCCAAGAAUUUCAACGGGAAGGUUAUGUUUCAGCAAAGGUUCCUGUUUAAGGAACACAUCAUCUAUUUCCCUUCUUUCCUUCAUAAACAUAUCAUUUUCAUGGUCUAGCAAAUAUUGUUCUAACGGAUCAGUAGGAGGUACGGCAAUAGAAGCAAGACCAAUAAUUUCAUCUUUACUAGAUGAUUCUCUAUUACGAGGUUGUCUAUGAAACUUAGCAAAAUUAAACUCAUGAGACAUACCAUCUAAGCCAAUCGUGACAGUAUCCUUUUCACAAUCAAUCUUAGCGUUAACAGUAUUCAAGAAAGGUCUAUCAAAAAUAAUGGGACAAAAGUCAUCUUGUGGGGAACUAAGAACAAGAAAAUCAGCGGGAUACUUAACCUUCCCACACAAGACUUCAACAUCUCUAACAAUCCCAAUUGGUGAAAUAGUAUCUCUAUUGGCAAGCUUGAUAGUAACAUCAAUAUCUUCCAAUUCAGCGGGUGCAAUGUCAUGCAUAAUUUCUUUAUAUAAGUCAUAGGGUAUUGCACUGGCACUAGCACCCAUAUCACAUAAGCCAUGAUAACAAUGAUCUCCUAUUUUAAUAGAAAUAACAGGCAUGCCUACCACAGGUCUAUGUAUCUUAGUAUCGGGUUUAGCAAUAUUAGCAGCUUCAUCACGGAAAUAAAUAACAUGCCCAUCUAUAUCAUCAUCCAAGAGAUCUUUAACCAUAGCAAUACUAGGUUCAACUUUAAUUUGCUCAGGAGGUGUAUAAGUCCUAGUAUUACUCUUACGAACAACAGUCGAAGUUUUAGCAUGAUCCUUUAUCCUAAUAGGAAAAGGGGGUUUCUCAACAUAAGUAGUAGGAACAAUAGGAUCACUAUAAGUAACAGUCUUUUCUUCAACUGUAAUAGGUGCAACUACUUUUACUUCAACGGGAGGAUUAUAUUUAAACCACUUCUCCUUAGGGAGAUCAAUGUGAGUAGCAAAAGAUUCACAGAAAGAAGCUACUAUCUCAUAGUCAAGUCCAUAUUUAGCGCUAAAUCCACGAAAAGCAUCGGUAUCCAUAAAAGAUUUAACACAAUCAAACUUAGGUGUCAUACCUGACUCCUUACCAUCGUCGGAACCCCAAUCUUUAGAGUUGCGUUUAAUUCUUUCCAAUAAGUUCCAUUUGAAAUCAAUAGUCUUCAGCAUAUAAGAUCCAGCACAGGAAGUAUCGAGCAGGUUGCGAUUAUUAAGAGAAAGCCGAGCAUAAAUUUUUUGAAUAAUCAUUUCUCUGGAGAGCUCAUGAUUGGGGCAUGAAUAUAACAUUGAUUUAAGCCUCCCCCAAGCUUGAGCGAUGCUUUCUCCUUCGCGAGGCCAGAAAUUAUAUAUGUAAUUACGAUCAUGAUGAACAAGAUGCAUAGGAUAGAACUUCUGGUGAAAUUCCAACUUCAAUCGCUUAUAAUUCCAAGAUCUCGUAUCAUCACAUAGCCUAUACCAUGUCAAUGCAUCUCCCUUCAAAGAUAAAGGGAAGACCUUCCUUUUGACAACAUCAUCGGGAAUACCUGCAAGCUUAAAUAAUCCACAAACUUCAUCCACAAAGAUAAGGUGUAAAUCGGGAUGCAAUGUUCCAUCUCCUGCAAAUGGAUUAGCUAGCAGUUUCUCUAUCAUACCCGAAGGAAUCUCAAAGUAAAUAUUUUCAUAAAGUUCAGUAGGUUGAGGAGCAACUCUUUGCUCUUCUGGUCGGGGUGAAGAUACCCCGAACAAGCCCCUCAAAGGAUUAGUUUCCAUAGUGAUAAGUAACAGAAAAUUUCAGCACACUAUAUAAAUGUUUCCUUACCAAGUUCCACUCACCAAAAGCGCUACACUCCCCGGCAACGGCGCCAGAAAAGAGUCUUGAUGACCCACAAGUGUAGGGGAUCUAUCGUAGUCCUUUCAAUAAGUAAGAGUGUCGAACCCAACGAGGAGCAGAAGGAAAUGAUAAGCGGUUUUCAGUAAGGUUUUCUCUGCAAGCACUGAAAUUGUAGUAAUAGAUAGUUUUGUGAUAAGAUAAAUUGUAACGAGCAACAAGCAAUGAAAGUAAAUAAAGUGCAACAAGGUGGCCCAAUCCUUUAUGUAGCAAAGGAUAAGCCUGGACAAUUUCUAAUAAUGAGAAAGGAGCUCCCGAGGACACAUGGGAAUUAUCGUCAAGCUAGUUUUCAUCACGUUCAUAUGAUUCGCGUUCGGUACUUUGAUAAUUUGAUAUGUGGGUGGACCGGUGCUUGGGUGCUGCCCUUACUUGGACAAGCAUCCCACUUAUGAUUAACCCCUAUUGCAAGCGUCCGCAACUACAAAAGAAGUAUUAAGGUAAACCUAACCACAACAUUAAACGUAUGGAUCCAAAUCAGCCCCUAACGAAGCAACGCAUAAACUAGGGUUUAAGCUUCUGUCACUCUAGCAACCCAUCAUCUACUUAUUACUUCCCAAUGCCUUCCUCUAGGCCCAAGUAAUGGUGAAGUGUCAUGUAGUCGACGUUCACACAACACACUAGAGGAAAAGAUAACAUACAUCUCAUCAAAAUAUCGAACGAAUACCAAAUUCACAUGACUACUAAUAGCAAGACUUCACCCAUGUCCUCAAGAACAAACGUAACUACUCACAAAGCAUAUUCAUGUUCAUGAUCAGAGGAGUAUUAAUAUGCAUUAAGGAUCUGAACAUAUGAUCUUCCACCAAAUAAACCAACUAGCAUCAACUACAAGGAGUAAUCAACACUACUAGCAACCCACAGGUACCAAUUUGUGGUUUUGAUACAAGAUUGGAUACAAGAGAUGAACUAGGGUUUUGAGAGGAGAUGGUGCUGGUGAAGAUGUUGAUGGAGAUUGACCCCCUCCCAAUGAGAGGAUCGUUGGUGAUGAUUUCCCCCUCCCGGAGGGAAGUUUCCCCGGCAGAACAGCUCUGCCGGAGCUCUAGAUUGGUUCCGCCAAGGUUCCGCCUCGUGGCGGCGGAGUUUCAUCCCGUAAGUUUGCCCACGAUUUUUUCCAGGGUAAAAGCCUUCAUAUAGCAGAAGAUGGACACCGGGGGGGCACCAGGGGGCCCAGGAGACAGGGGGCGCGCCUAGUAGGGGAGGACGCGCCCCCCACCCUCCUGGCCAGGGUGUGGGCCCCCUGAGGUAUUUCUUCCGCUCAAUAAUUCUUAUAAAUUCCAAAAAUAAGUUUCGUGGAGUUUCAGGACUUUUGGAGCUGUGCAGAAUAGGUUUCCAAUAUUUGCUCCUUUUCCAGCCAGAAUUCCAGCUGCCGGCAUUCCCCCUCUUCAUGGUAAACCUUGUUAAAUAAGAGAGAAUAGCCAUAAGUAUUGAGAUAUAAUGUGUAAUAACAGCCCAUAAUGCAAUAAAUAUUGAUAUAAAAGCAUGAUGCAAAAUGGACGUAUCAACCACCGCAAGCCAGAGCGCUAUUUUGAAGAUGUCCUUGAGGGUGCCCGUUUGAUAGAGGGUCAAUGCUCGAAGGAUAUCAUGUUCGAGUAAAUGUAUCCGGACUACCCGGACAAUGUAUUAUAAACCAAGGCUAUGUAAUACAUUUUAUGCAUUUAUCUGAACUACUUUCCUCCUGUGCAGCCGUAUAUUAUUAUUCUGAAAGUUUGCCAGUCGUCGGCUUCAGCCCCCACGUAGAUACUACAGGGGUGUUCGGAAUAACGUGUAAUCACUCUUGACCCAACGUCUUGGUGUGUAAAGGAGGUGAUUUACGUAGUGAACCAGGCAAUCAGACUAUGUGACUUUAGCACUUUCUCUUAGCCAUAGGAGUUUGACAAGGGGACUGUAAGGUCGCCCCUGGUGCGCAUGCGGCUAUCCGGACUUGGAUGCCUUAAGCGCGUGACUGGAAAGAGCCAGUCCUUCGUGUAAUACGUAAGAAAUCGCUAGAGAUUUAGUAAGUCACCGAAUUGCUGACCAGCUCUCGCUGCAUCAUGCAUGACAAUCAGUUUUCGGCUUUCUCUACUGAGGUGCUUGACCGGACGAACCAGAAACACAAUCGCAGUAUUUCUCCCUUUACUAUCUUAGCCGAACUAGCGGAACAUAAGGUAGCAAACACAGGAGCAGGGCAACCCAACUAUUGACCAAAGACAUGAUUCGGAGCCGAUGCAUAUACUGCAGUAUUCAGGACGCCGAAGUCUACUCUGAGAGUGUUCGAACUUUUCUGUUUUCGCAAAUAUAUAUGGCUGAAUAGAGCCCCUGGCGAUUUAAGUCGUGCCGAGGUGUAUAUGCCAAUCUGACGUAAAAGGGGGGAACAGAUUAAGAAAUAAGCCGAUACCAAACAAGGUUGGGCGAAACUGUUUGCAUUAUAGUAUGAUUGGUACGUCAAAACAUAUUUUUACAGAAGAUGCGAUAAGCAUCACGGCUAUUUUACAUGCCGAGAACAAGGGGAAGCUGUAUACAGGUCCUAAAUUUGAAAAGAUGAUCUUGAAGAUCCUUUGGACACUCUGCCGCACGUCUGCGCUGCUUUUCGCCUUGGUGGAUGAUCCUUUGAGAUGAUCAACAAUCGAGUAUGCAUAAGGGGCCUAGAAAGGGGCCCUUGUUACCACCAUGAAUUGAUGUGGGUUGUGAAGAACCUGCAAAAUAAAAACAAGAAGAAAAAGGUGGAAAAUAUGAAGGUCCGGAUAGGGUCGAGCCGUACCGCUGACCUUAUAUUUAGCAUGCCUCCGUCCUUGCCCAUGGUAUCUUUAGUGCGUAGUUAUGUACGCGCGGUACAUAUGCCGCUAUCAAGUUGGGGCUUUGUCGGAGGCCGAAUUGCUAAUCUAGCUCUGGACGAGCCGGACUGUCAGUCUGCAGGGUAGACCGGACCCGUUUGACAGUGUCCGGGGGCUUGGUUGCCGAUUUAGUUUUCGGCUCAAUAAGGCCACCCGGUACUUCGGCUACAAGGGCCGCGGUAUGCUCCUCAGUACGGAGGGAGCGCUCCGUGUUUCCAUUAACUGUAAUAACGCCGCGGGGUCCAGGCAUUUUGAGCUUUAAGUAAGGAUAAUGCGGGACCGCAUUGAAGCGGGCGAAGGCGGUUCUCCCAAGCAGUGCGUGAUAACCACUGUGGAAAGGGACGACGUCGAAGAUCAAGUCUUCGCUUCGGAAGUUGUCCGGCGAACCAAAGACCACUUCCAGUGUUAUUGAGCCCGUGCAGCGGGCUUCUACACCGGGUAUUACUCCUUUAAAGGUGGUUUUAGUGGGCUUGAUUCUUGAUGGAUCCAUGCCCAUUUUACAGACAGUGUCCUAAUAAAGCAGAUUAAGACUGCUGCCGCCGUCCAUAAGGACUCGCGUGAGGUGGAACCCGUCAAUAAUUGGAUCGAGGACCAAUGCAGCCGAACUUCCAUGACAGAUACUAGUCGGAUGGUCUCUGCGAUCAAAGGUGGCUGACCAUGGAUUAAACUUUGGGGCGACUGGCUCUAUGGCGUAGACGUCCCUUAACGCGCGCUUACGCUCCCGCUUAGGGAUGUGAGUAACGUAGAUCAUGUUCACCGUUUUGACCUCGGGGGGAAAUUUCUUCUGUCCCCCUGUGUUCGGUGGGCGAGGCUCUUCAUCGUCGUCCUCGCUGGGCGGCCCUUUCCGCUUGUGUUCGGCGUUGAGCUUGCCGGCCUGUUUAAAGACCCAACAAUUUCUGUUGGUAUGAUUGGUAGGCUUAUCAGGGGUGCCAUGAAUCUGGCAAGGCCGGUCGAGUAUUCUGUCCAAACUACAUGGACCAUCCUUGUUUCCUUUGAACGGCUUCUUCCGCUGACCGGUUUUGAGAGCCACUGAAUCCGGCGUUGACCGCCGUGUCUUCAGUAUCUUCGUUAUUGCUUCGACGCUUGUGCUUGUUGCGUCGUGGCUUGCCAUUGCCAUCCCUGGCUUCGGAGGUGCCAGGGUCGCUGGUGCUAUUGCUUCUACGAGCUAGCCAACUAUCUUCUCCCGCGCAAAAGCGGGUCAUAAGUGCCGUAAGGGCUGCCAUGGACUUCAGCUUUUCCUGGCCGAGGUGUCGGGCGAGCCACUCGUCUAGAAUGCUGUGUUUAAAGGCAGCAAGGGCUUCGGCGUCCGGACAAUCCACAAUUUGGUUCUUUUUAAUUAAGAACCUGGUCCAGAGUUUCCGGACUGAUUCUCCGGGUUGCUGGACUAUGUGACUAAGAUCAUCGACGUCUGGAGGCCGAACAUAGGUACCUUGGAAGUUGUCUCUAAAGGCAUCUUCCAAGUCUUCCCAACUGCCAAUAGAAUUUUCUGGGAGGCUGUUUAACCAGUGCCGUGCUUGUCCCUUUAAUUUGAGCGGGAGGUAUUUGAUGGCAUGAAGAUCAUCACCGCAGGCCAUGUGAAUAUGGAGAAGAAAAUCUUUGAUCCAUACUGCGGGAUCUAUCGUACCAUCGUAUGAUUCAAUGUUCAAGGGUUUAAACCCUUCUGGGAACUGAUGUUCCAUCACUUCGUCGGUGAAGCAUAAGGGGUGUGCGGCGCCUCUGUAUCGGGCGAUGUCGCGGUGCAGUUCGAAUGAAGUCCGUAUGCGAUUUUCGGCCCGGGUGAGGUUGUGCCUGUCACGCCAGGCUUGAUGGCCGUCCUCUCGCGUUGGAGCACGCCCCCUCGAUCCAUAGAUUGAUCUUGUCUGACCGGCUCUAUUGUCCAGGUCCUUUCUUAGGUCGUAGGUAUAGCCCGGGGCCGUUGCCUCCUUGCCUCGAUGGCAGGGUGGUGCGGGCUGGUGUUCGGCGUAAGUAGCCUGUCUGUCCCGUCCACGUGGUGGUCGGUCGGGUUCGUCAGCAGUUUUAUGCUUUGGCGGUAUUGGCUCAAGGGCCUCGUCGUCAAAUUGUGGUAGUAGCUUGCGCUUUGGGUAACUCUUAGUGGGGCGUUCAAGGCCGUAUUCCUCGGCUGCCAGGACAUUAGUCCAUCUGUCAUUGAGUAAAUCAUGUUCAGCUUGAAGCUGCUGCUGCUUCUUUUUUAGGCUUCUCGCAGUGGCGAUUAGCCGGUGCUUAAAACGCUCUUGUUUGAGGCGUUCCUCCGGCACGAUGAAGUCUUCGUCGCCGAGGCUCACAUCCUCUUCGGAGAUCGGUAAGUAGUUACUAUCCUCCGAGUCCUUGUUCCUGACCGGAUCGUCGGGGUUAACUUGCCCAUCCUCCCAAUCAUCCUGUUCGGAUGUUGGCUCGACAGGGGCUCCGGGGUCUUCGGCAUUCUCCGGAGUGUUAUUGUCUCCGGCUCCGGGGUCUUCGGCAUUCUCCGGAGUGUUAUUGUCUCCGGUGCCGAUAUUGCUUUCUUUUUUACAACGCGAUUUUGAGCGGCGCCGCUGACGUUGAUGCGUCGGAGGUGCUUCGGCAGGCUUGUCCUCAACCGGAUCCUUCUUGCCGUCGUCGUCAUCCUCUUUGGGUGUGUCCAUCAUGUACACGUCGUAUGCGGAGGUGGCCGUCCAAUGUCCGGUAAACGGAGGGUCUUGGCCUUGUUCGUCUCCGGCAUCGUCGUCAAUGCCGUCGAUGUCUUCGGAGGCGUAAUCCAGCAUGUCGGUUAGAUCUUCAAUAGUGGCUAUGAAGUGGGUGGUGGGUGGGACGUAAAAUUCCCCGCUCUCAGCCCCUAGUCUGGGAUGGGCGUAAUUUGGAAGCGAUUCCUCUGUAAUGGCGAGGGAUCGCAUUAAGUCCAGAGCCUCGUUUAGGAGCAAGGCUUGGACAGCGAAGCGAGAGUCCGCAGGGCUGACCGGGGUGAGAGCCUCCUGGCCGUGCCCGCUUGACGCGGACCUCGAGAGUUCGGAUUUAGAGUCCGAGGGAGAGUCCGGCACUUUAGCAACAAGGGGAGCUCGGUUCGUCUUCGGGUUUGCCGAUGACGCAAUCCCCUCCAGAUCUGUUGUAGCAAGUUCCAUAAUUGCAGGGAGUCCGACGGGCUCUAAACUCCCGUCUUCGAACCUGGUAGUCUGCUCUAGAUCUAAGGCCAGAGCGGCGGUCGGGGCCGCGAACCCUCCGAAAACCAAGUCUCCUCGGAUAUUCGCGACAUAAUUUAGGUUCCCGAAACUGAUCUGAUGACCAUGGGCGUAGUUGUCGAUCUGCUCAAGGUGGCCAAUCGAGUUGGCACGCAGUGCGAAGCCGCCGAAUACGAAAAUUUGACCGAGGAGGAAAGACUUCCCCAAAACAGCAUCAUUGUAGAUGAUCGAAUGAGCCAUCGAACCUUCUGUCGACAGCACAGAGGAACUCUCAAUGAAAGCACCAAUGUCGGUGUCAAAACCGGCCGAUCUCGGGUAGGGGGCCCCGAACUGUGCGUCUGAGUAUCGAAGGUAAUAGGAGGCAGGGGACACGAUGUUUACCCAGGUUCGGGCCCUCUUAAUGGAGGUAAUACCCUACUUCCUGCUUGAUUGACUUUGAUGAGUAUAGAGGUUACACGAGUUGAUCUACCUCGAGAUCGUAAUGGCUAAACCCUAGAUGUCUAGCCUGUAUGAUUGUGUUUUUUCUCUCUACGGACGUACAGAGUCGGAUUACAGAGAAAGGAAUCUUCACGUCCGAACGCCAAGCUUGCCAUCCACGCAAAGGAGAGUCCCAUCCGGACACGGAAAAAGACCUUCUAUCUUGUAUCUUCAUAGCCCGGACGCCCGGAGACCCCCUAAUCCAGGACUCCCUCAAGGGCUAGAAGAGUGCACGGUUAUAAUGUAUCUAAAUUUCUUGGUUUUCACCACUACUUUUUUUAUUUCAGUUUUCUUACGUGUUUCUUUUGUACGCUUUUUUAGCACAUGUCUAUGUUUCUCAGUACACAAUACACUUUCCCGGUGUACAAAUGAAACAAAGUUUUGAUACAUGUUUUUUUGUUCAAAUAGACGAUGUACGUUUUUCUUUUAAUAUGGUUUUGAACAUUUUUCUGAAUACAUGAUCAACGUUUCUAAAAAUACAAAAUGAACAUUUUAUAAAUCAAUAAACAUUUCUUUUAACUAUGCAUCAUUUUAAACAUUCUAUAGACAUGCAAGAAAAGUCAUGGGCAUUUCUUUAAAACACGUGAAUAUUUCUUUAUAAUGCCACGUCACUUUUGUAACCUGCGCAAACAUUUUUUUUACGUUGUAUAGACAGUUUUUUGUACAGUUUUUUUAUACAUGAUUAACAUUUUUUCAAACAUAUAUUAUGAUGUCAUGUUUCAUACACAUUCUACAGUUUACGUAUACACCAGGAAUAUUUUUGAUAUACACGUUUAACCUUCCAAAUACAUGAUUAACGUAUUUGAAAAAUCAUAUUUUUAUGUCUUUUUCCAUACACAUUAAACAUUCUUUCCAUACAUCAGGAACAUUUUUUUGUAUAUUUGUUUAACAUUUUUUCACAUGCAUAUUUAAUGUUUUUUAAAGAUAUACUCCCUCCGUCACAUAAUUUAGGCGCGUCUUUGACACUACGAUAGUGUAAAAAACGCUCUUAUAUUAUAGGACGGAGGGAGUAGUUUUUAUGUCUGCUUUUUUCCAUACUUUUUUUGUGUACAUGCGAGGGCCCAAGCCGGGCGGGGGUGGCCGUGCUCGCAGCCCCAUGAAAUUAAAGCACAUUCAUGGCCAAGCACCUACAUGGGAGCACCUACACGGGAGGAGGCAAGUCGAGGCGGUGAGCCUAGUGUUAGGAGGGCCGGGCGGGGGCGGCGAUGGGAGCCAGAGCGCUUCGUCCAGCGGCGGUCGGCUUGUUGGGAAAGAUGAAGAAAAGAGAAAGAAGAUUCACAGUAUGGUUUUACGGGAUCUAUUCGCGCAGACCUUCGCGAUACCAGAAAAUCGUUUUCGGGGUAAUGACAAUGUAUUUUCCAGUUUCAAUUUUUCUGGGGUCCGCUAGAGAUGCCCUAAGGCUAAGCAUGUCAACUAAAACAUUUUUUAGGGCAAUUUAUGUUGGCACGAUGAUGACAAAUUUAGUUAGGAACCAUGCUAAUUUCAUGGCAAAAAGAUAAUGUGAGGUUGAUUUGACAUGAUUAUCAAAUCAACUUGUCAUUCUCGGCAAACAUAAAAUGCCAAUAAAAACAUCCGAUUUGCCAUGGUAAAAAAACUGAUGUAAGAUUUGUAGUUGAGUCCUUUUUAAUAGCUCUACACCGUCGAUGCUAGGUUUUUUUCAAGACUAAGCACGACACAGGUCGGAGGAGACUUGCUCCAUACCCAACAAGAGUGCAAAGAUACAUCUUGCUUAUAGCGAGUAUAGUGUCCGAUCUCGCCUGUAGGAUUUUCUUGUGUGAUCAAUGGUCCAACGCAAAUUUGUUUUUGUUCCUGGGUUUCGACCGAGACACUUGUGGUUUUGUUUGGUCGUUGCACUCCUUUUGGCUCAUUUUUGUAGUCUUUUUCCUGGUUUUGUCUUCUUUGUUCUUUUUGGUUUUCUUUGUUUCUUCACUCGUUCUCUCGGGUUUUCUGUUUUCUUUGUUUUUGCGCCGGGUUUUCAUUUAUUUCUCGGGUUUCACUAGGUUUCAUUUGUUUUACUUUUCACAUACACAAUUAGUAUUUUUUCAAAUUUGUUCACAAAGUGAUUUUUGUAGUAGAUAUGUUUAGAAUACUUUGAAAUAUAAUUAAAAACACUAAUUACAAAUAUGAAAAAGGGAACGUAGAAGACCCGUUGUCCGCACUAGGCCGGCCCAUUCUGGCGCAUGCCUGAGGCGAGGCGUGGUGCUGUCAAGAGCAAACCUCCUAAGAGCAUCUACAACCGG
rnacentral:lncRNA from 1 species